rnacentral:lncRNA from 1 species
GCAUGCGAUAAACCUCCUGUGUUCGUAGCACUGGUAUGUUCUCCCAUGGAAGCAUCUACACAAUCAAUUAGCUUGUGUGAAUGAAAAAAUUAAAAUGACCCAAUCAUCUCCUUCCUAAGGAUGCCUGGAGAAGAACCCCCCAUUAGGGUGGUAAAAACCUUUUCAUGUAGCAAAUAGAUCAUUAAGUUUCAAGUACCUUGGAUGGUAUAUUUAUUAUUUCAUUGGAACCUUUUUUUUUUUUUUUCAGAAUCAAAUUCUUAUUAGGAAUAGAUCUUAACAAGUUUAGGGAGGUCUCUGGAGAUUGUUCUAGUGAUGAAACAUUAACUGGUUUCAUCCACAUCAAAGAAAGGUUAUGACUAAAGGCCAUAGGUGACUAUCAGUUCUUAUAUUUGCAAUAGCAAAAUUUCAAAAGCACUGAUAUUCUUUUAAGAUAAUACCUCAUAAUUCACAUUCCACUACACCUUGAUAUCACUAAAUUAAAUUCAAUCUAUUAGUUAUAGAAGAAACAUUGAACUCAUAAGUUGACAAUCUUGAAAGGUACAAUGAGGGAUGGAAAGAAAAAGACACACCUGCACCUCACAAUCUGGUUCUCAUGUGUGAACAAGUGGUCCACCAAUGGUUUUUUGGGACUGUACCUUAGGUACUACCUUAAGAGCCUUUAGGUACUACCUUAAUGGUCCUUAGGUACUACCUUAAGGGACCCUAGGUACUAUCUUAGCUAAACCUUAACUCAACCUCUCCCAAGCCUCGGGCCUUGCUUAGUGACCCUCAUACCAUGUCAUUAUGUGGUUCUCAUGUGUGAACAAGUGGUCCACCAAUGGUUUUAUGGGACUGUACCUUAGGUACUACCUUAAGGGACCCUAGGUACUACCUUAGCUAAACCUUAAUUCAACCUCUCCCAAGCCUUGGGUCUUGCUUAGUGACCCUCAUACCAUGCCAUUAUGUGGUUCUCAUGUGUGAACAAGUGGUCCACCUAUGGUUUUUUGGGAUUGUACCUUAGGUACUACCUUAAGGGACCCUAGGUACUACCUUAUCUAAACCUUAACUCAACUUCUCCCAAGUCUCGGGCCUUGCUUAGUGACCCUCAUACCAUGCCAUUAUGUGGUUCUCAUGUGUGAACAAGUGGUUCACCAAUGGUUUUUUGUGACUGUACCUUAGGUACUACCUUAAGGGACCCUAGGUACUACCUUAGCUAAACCUUAACUCAACCUCUCCCAAGCCUCGGGCUUUGCUUAGUGACCUUUAUACCACGUCAUUAUGUGGUUCUCAUGUGUGAACAAGUGGUCCACCAAUGGUUUUUUGGGACUGUACCUUAGGUACUACCUUAAUGGCCCUUAGGUACUACCUUAAGGGACCCUAGGUACUACCUUAAGGGACCCUAGGUACUACCUUAGCUAAACCUUAACUCAACCUCUCCCAAGCCUCGGGCCUUGCUUAGUGACCCUCAUACCAUGCCAUUAUGUGGUUUUCAUGUGUGAACAAAUGGUCCACCAAUGGUUUUUUUGUGACUGUACUUUAGGUACCACCUUAAUGGCCCUUAGGUACUACCUUAAGGUACCCUAGGUACUACCUUAAAACAUUCCUUAACACCUAAGCAGCCAUUUAUUGUUGCAAAACAUCUCAUUGGGAAAGUACAAAAGAGAAACAUAAGAUCACUAGUAAACAACCAUUUAGGGUGUUGUAUUGAAUUUCAAAUCCAAUCAAGAGAUAAAAAAAUGCGUCAUAAAUCCUCCAACUGUAUUACUAACAAUUUCUUAAGAUCCGUGUUCAUCCAUAUUUUGUAUUGCCACAUGCAGAACAGUUGACUCAAUUGGAGACUUUACCUUGAAAAUAGGAGUAUACACAACAUGGUUCUAAUUCUUAACCAAAAGAAAGACCCUAAGAAAACACAACAAUAACUAAUAAGGACAAUGCAUGAAUGAGUUUCUUAAAAUAUAUUUAAAACUUCUAAGAAGGAUUCGCAUAUACAGGGUCAAUAAUUUGGAAUACUAAAGGGAGACACAUGUUACAAAUAGAAAAUUUAGAUUUCAAAGCCCCCUUAUUGUGUAGGUAAGUGACUUGACAAAAAAGAGAAACACGAAUGAAAAUUAAAAAAAAAUUAUAAUAUGGUCCGAUAUCUUCAUCCCUUUUGCAUUAGUUACAGAUUUCCUAAAACUACAUUUUGAUGAUAACAAAACAAAUGUUAAGUACUUGAUCAAAUUUCCUAAGUGUGGCAGAUUGCAAAAUCAUUAGGUGAAACUUAAAGGAAAAAUAAGUCAAGAAUUUGGGCGAUCAUAGAAGACCAAGAGUUGAAGACCCUUUUUGUAAGAUACUAGACUUUGUAACAGUUCCAUGUGCAUUUUAGAUGAGGAAACUUACAUGCACUUGACCUAUGAAAAACUUAGGCUUUGGACUUGGUGACCAUAUUCAACCAAAUCUUAUUUUUAAUUUUUUUUUUUAAGAAAGUUAAUCUAGAUGAAAACUAGAAUGUAAAAUGUGUCAUAAACCUUAAAAGCAGCUCAAAAUAUUAUAUACAAGCCUAGUGUCAGCCCCUUAGCCACUUGAGCUAGACCGGGAAAAAUAGGCCUCAUGGGUAGGCCUUGCAUCCAUGAGAGCCUGGGUUGAAAGCAAGGGAAGCCUAGAGGGUUGGUGGUUCGAAUCCUUGAAGCUUAGUGUGAGAAUCACAAAGGAGUCAGACGCGCACCGCGGGCGAGCCAGGCGAGCACCGCGCGCGCACCGCGGGCGAGCCAGACGAGCACCGCGCGCGCACCGCGGGCGAGUCAGACGAGCACCGCGCGCGUACCGUGGGCGAGCCAGACACGCACCGCGAGCGAGCCAGACGAGCACCGUGCGCGCACCGUGGGCGAGCCAGACACGCACCGCGCGCGCACCUGGGACGAGCCAGGCGCGCACCAAGGGCAAGCCAGACAGGCACCAUGCGCACCUUGAAGGCACAUGGGCUAAGGAGUGGUGCAGAGGGAUAUUUUGGGAAUUUAAAUUAAUUUGUAUUUAUUUAAAUAUUUCAUUAUGUCUCCUCAGACUUAUUGAUGUNNNNNNNNNNNNNNNNNNNNNNNNNNNNNNNNNNNNNNNNNNNNNNNNNNNNNNNNNNNNNNNNNNNNNNNNNNNNNNNNNNNNNNNNNNNNNNNNNNNNGAUGUCUCCUCCAGAAACUUUGAAAACGGCCCGUAUUGCUCUUUAAGGGGGGGGUGGGUGUCUCAAGGGGGAUGAGCACCAAGAGCGAGCCUUGACCGCACCAAGGGCGAGCCUUGACCGCACCAAGAAGGCAUCCUGGCAUGGAAAUUGAGCAUGCACACAUGGGCUCCACGACAUGUGUGGCAUGCAACCCGUGGCUGCAGCAGCACGGGGCCUGAUGCGGUCUAGCCCCUCCCCGCGCCAGCACGAGGGCGCCUAAACCUUGUGCAAGCAAAUCAGACAAGUAGACCAUGGGCGCAAUGCCAUGGCCAGAUGGGGCAUCAGACAAACAGCCGACUAGCACCCGAGUGCCUAUGCACAGCACAGGGGCGCAAUGCCCUGUGUACCAAGAGGGAACAGUCAUGGGCGCAAUGCCAUGGCUCGUUGAAGCGGAACCUGACAUAGGAAGGGAGAGCAACAGGCCCAGACCAUGGGCACCUCGACAUGGCUUGGGCUCACUCAUCAGUGUGGGGGAGGCACACUGAUGCAGCCUGGACAGCUAGUGAGCAAGUCAAGGAGCUGCAUAGACUGACAGUGGGCUGAGGCAAAACUGAUGCUGAUGCAAGUGGGUGGUUUCUCAGCAAGCCACCAUCUGGGUGGUGGGCGGUUAGACCAGCAGUUCAGAGCGGUUCUGAGCAGUUGCACCACCACAUGGGAAAAAACUGCAGGGCUAGUCUUUUAAAUAGGACUCCUGCAGCCUUGAGAGGGAGAGAGAGGAAGGAGAGGAAGAGGAUCUCUGAAUGCUUGGGUUGUAAGCAUCAUCCUCUGGCUCAAGGAACAAUUUUGUAUCUUGUAGGUUGAGAACUAAUACAAGUUGGGAAGGCAUUCCUGUAAUCUCGUGUGUCCUUGUCUCUCUUUGGUUUGCUGUUGCUUGUGUGUGUGAGUGUUGUGAAGACUGGGAAGGAAGGUUGGCUAAGGAGGGGUCCUUAGCACCGCGCACCAGGUGAAAAAUUUAGGGUGAUUUUUGAGGGUGUGACACCUAGUCCCUUCUUGUAUCUUAAAAGCCCGUGAAACCAAAGGCAAAAUCCUAGUGUUUGGGGCUAUCACUGGUCUAAUAUCUAGCCAUACUUCAAAAGCCUGUGAAACCAGAGGCAAAAUCCAAGUGUUUGGGGGAAACCCAUGCCGAGCCUGCUUUCAUAGUCAUGCUUUGCCUAGAGCAACAUUGUCACAACCCCAAUAUUUUGGAGCUACCCUGUCUUACUUCUGCUCUUUAUCUCCUUAUUCUCCCUAUCCUUACUGUUUACCGUUAAUUCUCUGAGAGCCUCGAGAAUCCUUUUAGCAAAGGUGGAUAGACAGAUUCUAUUUGAUCAGAUUCCUGAGAAAUUAUACUAACUUACCAUUGUUUCCUUCAUAAAUUCGUAUAAGCUAGUAAAUAAAAGAUAUCCGAUCCCUGUAUAAGUAAGGAGACUUCUGAGGAACAUUGGACACGUAUCCAAGAAAUGUAUAGUCUGAACAUGUUAAACCUAACACGAUUUCAGGUUAGGGUUACUUUGUAGACGUGUAAGAAUCGGAAUAGUUCCCAAUUCAAAAAAUGUCUGACAUCGAUGAUGGAUCCCCAAAAUUACUCUAUCAACCAAUUAAUAAGGAUUUUCCAAACCACAAAAACGUAAUAAAUCUCGAUUCAAUCUUCUAAAGAAAAACUAGUUCAUUCCUAUCGAGAAUAUUCUCCACAAACUAAGGACCAUUCGGAUGAAAGAAAAAGAAAAUGCUCCAGAAUGGUCCAUUUUCUUAAGCAUUUUUUUCUCUUUUACUUCAAAAAAUCCCCAGGUGUCAUGUAAUCACGGAUUCAAUAACCAGAACACACCAAUUUCAUAGCACCGACUAAGGAAAGAGAAUACCUUCUGGAUGAGCUUCUUCAUAUUCUCGGAAUUGUUUGCCAAAGUAUACAUCAGACCAAUCGGGAUUGAGACAUAGAGAGCGAACUUUCCGAUUUCCAGGAUUCCCUUUGAAGUUCCGAUGGAAGACAUUUUCGUUAGGAAAUUACGCAACUGAAAUUUUUUUUGGGCACUUUAAAAUUGGAGCAAGUGAAGCAGGCGUAUUAAAAAGGGAAAGUGGAAGAUUUGAUAAUCGCGUUCCAAAGAAAAGGGUUGUCUUGCUUUCGAUAUUUUCGGUCGAAAUGCCGCGACAUGAAGAGGUAGCGAGCAAAUUCCUGAGAUGGGGUUGGGGCAAAAUGACCAGAAGAGAGAUUCCUACUUUUGGUUUUCAGUCGGGUUUCUUUGUGUUUGUGUUUCAGUUUUGAGAAAAGGUUCAAGUUUGAAAUUGUUCUACUGACAUGACAUGGAGAGAAUUUUCUGAUGACAUGGAGAAAUUUAGGGGCAAUAUGGGAAGAAGAAAAGUAAACAGGAGAUAGUACAUGUUUUGGAUAUUAUUUUAUCUAUUACUAAUUGUAUCUCAUAUUUUAUAUACUUAGUUUUUCAAAAUCAUAUAUUUUUCACAUACCUAAAACCUAACUUUCCCCAAUAAGAUCGGUACAUUGGGAAAAAAAGUUAAUAUAAAAUAAUAGAGGUAGGAAGUAGCAUCUAAAAGGUUGUUUUCCACUUUAUGAAAGGAAAUUAAUUUUUUUAAACAAGAAGAGAGACAGAGACAUGGAAUGUAAGAAUGAAAUAAGAAAAGUGAAUGUAUAAAACAGUAAGAAGGUAAUAUAUGAAAAGAUUUUUUCCACGUUACAAAAAGGUUAUAGAAUUCUUUAUAAAGGUAUUUUGGGUAAAAAUGUUUUACAAGCUGUUUUAAUGUAGUACAUAUAGAGUUUUUUAAAACCAAGUUUGUAUCUCUAUACGUUACCCAGCUUCCCCACUAUAUAUAAAAAAAUAAAAAAAAUUUAAUGUGUUUUUUCAAAUUUUGAAAAAAUUAAAAAUUAAAUAGAAUGACAUAUGAAAAUUGUAUACUUGUUUAAAUUUUUCUUUGGGAUCGGAUGUGAAUAGAUUUAAAUAAAUAAGAUCGGUGAGAGGUGGGUGACUUGUACCAAACUCACAUUGUUAUCAUAUUUUGAUUUCUCAAUAAAAAAAUAAAAAUUACUUAAAAAGAAAUUUUGAUAAUUUAAUUUUAGAGUAAAUUAGGUAUGGAAAAGGCAUUUUUUUUAUACCAUAUUGAAAAAUGUCAACUAAUAAAAAAAAUUUCAUACACUAAAAAGAAAAAGGGGUUUUGUACCUUCACAAUAGUCUUAUUAUUUUCAUAUUGAAAAAUCUCCCAUUCGUCUUUUUCAAUUCACUUGCAGUUGCAGAAGGAUUGUGGUCGUUCCUUUACAAAGUUCCCGUUCAUUUGGUGAGGGACUGAAAGUUCUAAUCCAAAGUUUUUUGUUUUCUAAAAUAAUGGAAGAGAGAAUUUUUGUUUUUGGGUGUUUUUUGUUUUUUAGAUGGNGAUAGUAUCCUNNNNNNNNNNNNNNNNNNNNNNNNNNNNNNNNNNNNNNNNNNNNNNNNNNNNNNNNNNNNNNNNNNNNNNNNNNNNNNNNNNNNNNNNNNNNNNNNNNNNUUUUUAUUAUGAUUGUGUUUGGUUCCAAAAAUAAUAACAAAAGAGAAAAAAAAUACAAAGAAAAAUGAUAUUUUUAUAUUUGGUUAUCGUAUAAAAAAUCUAAAAAGAAAUUAAAUAUAAUUAAAAUUAGUUAAAAACUUAUAUAUUUUUAAAUUAUUUAAUUUUUAUAUCAAUGGGUUAAUGUGGACCUUACAUUUUGGCUCAUGCGCUUUCACUCAAUGGUGAGCUCGCUUUUUAUUUGAAAAUGAUUUUAUUUAUUAAGAAAAUGACUUGGAGUCGCAACUUAUUUUUGUUUUAUUUUUAAAAGGUAAACAAAAUAAGAAAGAAAACCCUAAAUGUGACUUCUUAUUUUGGAAAAGGUGGUAUGUGAAAAACCGGAUCGGGCUCGGGGGUCAGGUUGCUUAUUGGGAAGGUACGGUAAAGAUCAUAGCGCCCCUCUAAGUCCCUGAAGUCGGGUCUCUACUAAUAAAAUGAAGCAAUCAUGACAAUUGAUGAGUAAAUCAAUGAAUACCCAGAACGAUCAUGCACGUAUGAGAGUCAGAACAUGCACAUAGAAUGACCAGGAUGCGAGUAGAUACGUACCUAGGUAACGAGUCACAAUGAGCUAUCAAGAAAUGAGGUUAGUGCACAAAUAAUGGACAUAAAACAUAGCUCAUUAUGGCUCAUUGCCCAAGCAGGUAUCUACUCGCAUCCGGUCGAAGCAACGGUAACAUGCCAAAGCAUUAAAUGUUUAAACGACUAGUGAACCGGUCGACCCCCAACUCGACCGGUUGAGACUGUUUUUUGAUUUUCUUGGCUCUCGAGGUUAGAAGCCUAUAAAUUGAGAGCUCCACUUCAUUUAUGAUAUAGAGAACACUUGCAUUCAAUUGUCUACCCACUUGUUCUUACUUUAAAAUCUCUCAUUUCUUUCUUGGUGCAUUAAAUCUACACUUGCAUAUCCUUUAGUGCACAUUUGUGUUUCAUCUUAGCUUUGAUUUGUAUUUGAGCUAUCAUUGAGCUAAGUUGAGGGAUUCAUUCUUGUAAAAAUUGAGUGUUAAAUCCUUUAAGGGAGUUGAAUCUUGAAGAGAUUGUGUAAGAGCCCAUUGGAACCGGAAUCCUAGUGUAAAGGAGAUUGGAAGCUUGGUUGAAGUUUCAAGAUUGUGGAACCCUCACUCGGUUAGGAGAUUGAAGAGAGAGGACGUAGUCAAGGAAGUGCCAAACCACUAUAAAAUAUGAGUUUGGUUUCUCUAACUCUAUCUUUUUAUUUUUUAUUUCUAUUGUGCUUGAACUUGUUGUGUUGACAAAGUUUUUGAAAAACCCAAUUCACCCCACUCUUGGGUGUUUUUCUCAUUUAAGUUUAGCCUUUAUUUUCUUAAUUGGUAUCAGAGCAAUGCCUCUUGUUUAAGACUUAAUAGUUUAAGAGGAAAUGAUUAUUCCAUCAAGCUCAUCUCAAACUGAAAGUUUUGCAAAAAAAUAGAGCUCCUUUUUUUAUGAGAACCGACUAUCCCUAUUGGAAAACUAAAAUGACUUGGUAUUUAAAUCAAUCGAUUUAGAUGUAUGGGACGUCAUUGAAGAUGACCCAACUUUUCCUACAAAACUAGUUGAUGAAGUCAUGGUUCCAAAACCCAAGUAAGAAUGGAAUGAGCUUGAUAGAAUAAAUUUUCAAUUAAAUGCAAAAGCCGUUUUUACUUUGCAAUGUUCUAUGGAUAGAAAUGAAUAUAAUAGAAUAUGUCAAUGCAAAUCGGCUAAAGAAAUUUGGAGAUUGCUUGAAAUAACUCAUGAAAGAACAAAUCAAGUGAAAAAGUUAAAAAUGAAUUUACUUGUUCAUAGCUAUGAAUUGUUUUUUAUGAAAGAAAAUGAGACUAUUGUUGAGAUGAUCACUAAGUUCACCGACAUUGUCAAUGGUCUUGAAGCUUUGGGAAAUACCUACAAGGAAUCCGAAAAAGUGAUGAAGAUAUUGAGGUCACUCCCAUCAAAGUGGCAUAUAAAGGUCACCGUAAUUCAAGAAGCAAAAGACUUGCCCAAGCUACCUAUGGAGGAGCUCAUAGGGUCAUUAAUGACAUAUGAGAUCAAUUUAGCAAAGAAGCUACAAGAAGGUGAAGACAAAAAGAAGAAGAGCAUGGCUCUUAAAGCUAUAACUAAGGAAGAAAAAGAUGUUGAAGAAGAAAAACCAAGUGAAGAAGAUGAUGAUUUAGCCCUCAUCAUAAGAAAGCUCAACAAAUACAUGAAGGGUGAAAGGUCUAGAGGAAGAAGGUUCACCUUUAGAAGAAACCUUUCUAAAAAGGAAUCUUCAUCUCAUGGUGGCAAGGAGAAAUGAGAAGAGAAAAGAGAUUUGGUGUGUUUCAAAUGCAAGAAAUUGGGACACAUUAAAUAUGAUUGUUCUCUCUACAAAAGUGAAGCCAAGAGGAGAAUUAAGAAGACAAUGAUGGACACUUGGAGUGAAAGUGAAGAAUCCUUUGAAGAAGAAAAGGAGAAAGAAGUGGAAAAUAUAUGCUUCAUGGCAAUAGAUGAACUUGAUGAGGUAAACUUUAACUUUAGUGAUGAAGAUAUGCAUGAUUUUAUUUGAAGAAUUGUAUGAGGAUUUUGAAAAACUUAAUUUGAAAAAUAAUUAUCUUAAAAAGAAAAAUCAAGAACUAGAACUUGAAGAAGUAAAAGAAAAAUUUUCAAUUGAUGAAAUUUCUAAAACUCAUCUUGAAAAAGAAAGUGAAAUUUUGAGAAAGAAAAACGGAUGGUUGACCUCCUAUUUUUCAAUAUUUUCUUGUAGACAAAAAUAUUUUGAAAUGACUCUAGCUAGCCAAAAAUGUGUUUUUAAGAAACAAGGGCUAGGAUUCAAAUCUUCAAAAAAUCAAAAGUAUUUUAAAAACUAUUUUUUAAAAGAAUCCACAGGUGCAAGUCCUUCCACUACUUGCAACUUUUGUGGAAGAGGAGGGCACAUUAGUAGUACAUGUCCUUUAAGAAAUGGUUCUCAAAAGAAUUCAAAUGCAAAAACUAAAAAGGUUUGGAUUGAAAAAUCCAAGGUCACUAACCCUCAAUGACUCAAAAAGAUAUGGGUACCUAAAUCAACUUGAGUUUUAUUUUGUAGGGUUCAAAGAAAGAUAAGUGGUUCUUGGAUAGUGGAUGCUCAAGAUACAUGACCGGAGAUAAUCCAAGUUUGCUUUCCUUACAAAGAGAAAGAGAGGAUAUGUUACCUUUGGAGACAAUGCAAAAGGAAUAAUCAUUGGUCAAAUCAACAUUGGUAAUGACACAUCCUCUCUUAUUGAAAGUGUUUUAUUAGUGGAUGAUUUAAAACAUAACAUUUUAAGCAUUAGUCAACUUUAUGACAAAGGUUUUAAAGUGAUUUUUGAAGCAUCUCAUUGCAUUAUCAAGGAUAUUCAAAAUGAUCAAACUAUCUUCAUGGGCCAUAAAUGUGAUAAUGUUUACGCUAUAAAUAUUUCAAAAUAUGAUGACCAUGAUAGAUGCUUUUCAAGCAUGCAUGAUCAAAGUUGGUUGUGGCAUAGGAGGUUGGGACAUGCUAACAUGGACCUCAUUUCCCAACUCAACAAAGAUGAAUUAGUUAGAGGCCUUCCCAAAAUUAAUCUUCAAAAAGACAAAGUUUGUGAAGUUUGUCAAGUGGGAAAGCAAAUAAAAAAUUCUUUCAAAAACAAAAACUACAUUUCCACAUCUAGGCUACUUGAGUUGUUGCAUAUGGAUUUAUUUGGUCCUUCUAGCACACCAAGUCUUGGGGGAAAACCUUAUGCAUAUGUUAUUAUGGAUGACUUCUCUAGAUGUACAUAGGUCUUGUUUUUAAGUCAAAGAAUGAAGCCUUUUAUAAGUUUUCAAAAUUUUGUAAUAAGAUUCAAAAUGAAAAAGGUUUACAAUUACUUGUAUAAGAAGUGAUCAUGGGAGAUAAUUUGAAAAUAUUGAUUUUGAAGAAUAUUACAAUGAGCAUGGUAUUAUCCACAAUUUUUUAGCUCCUAGAACUCCUCAACAAAAUGGGGUGGUUGAAAGGAAAACUAGAUAUCUUUAAGAAAUGGCUAGAACCAUGCUAAAUGAAAACAAUUUACCAAAAUAUUUUUGGGCCGAAACGGUUAACACUUUUUGUUAUGUCUUAAAUAGAAUUUUAUUGAGGCCAAUUCUUAAGAAAACUCCCUAUGAGCUUUGAAAAAACAAGAAACCUAACAUUAGCUAUUUCAAAGUCUUUGAGUGCAAAUGUUUUAUAUUAAACACCAAAGACAAUCUUGGAAAAUUUGAUGCUAAAUCGGAUGUUGGAAUUUUUCUUGGUUACUCAACUUCAAGUAAAUCUUUUAGAGUUUUUAACAAAAGAACCAUGGUUGUAGAGAAGUCCAUUCAUGUUAUUUUUGAUGAAUCUAACAAUUCUUUCCAAGAAAGAGAGUUUUGAUGAUGAUUUAGUUUUGGAGACCUCCAUGGGAAAAUUGCAAAUUGAAGAUAGACGACAACAAGAAGAAAUUGGAGAGGAUCCCAAGAAAGAAGAAUCACCAUUGGCACUACCUCCUUCUCAACAAGUGCAAGGUGAAUCAAGUCAAGACCUUCCUAAAGAUUGGAAGUUUUUCAUCAACCACCCACAAGAUCAAAUUUUAGGUAAUUCAUCUAGUAAGGUAAGAACUAGAUCAUCUCUUAGAAAUAUUUGCAAUAAUCUUGCUUUUAUCUCUCAAAUUGAGCCUAAAAAUAUAAAUAAUGCUUUAGUUGAUGAAAAUUGGAUGAUUGCUAUACAAGAAGAGUUAAAUCAAUUUGAAAGAAGUGAAGUAUGGGAAUUAGUGCCAAGUGAUUCGUCCCUAGCAGCGGCAGUGGCAAUGGCACCAUUUGAUUCGAGGUUUGAUCCCCGGCAACGGCGCCAUUUGAUUCGAGCUCAAUUGGUGUCUCAGCUGAUUCAUGUCCAGCUGGUGCUCCUUGAUUGAGGGAGUAAUCAACAAAAUUUAUAACCUAUUUCACCAUAUACUAGGGUAGCAAAGACAAAGCUACUAUAGCAUAGUGGCUCUAGGAUCGUUCACUGGGAUGGGUUUUCACUUUGCAAAUGAUAUUAAUUCAAAGCUGAAUUGGUGUCUUUUCAUUUCAAGGUUAGCUUUAAAAGAAAACAUAAAUAUGUUUGAAAAAGGAUUGGUUUUAAGCUAACCAAAAAUAGUAACUGAUUUUACUUACAAAGAAAAAUGUUUCUUGGAGUUUCAGAUCACUAGGCUCAGGUUCCUCAUACAAAAAUGAGAGUUCCGGUCACUUGUUUCUUUUCCUCGCAUUAGAGAAUUAACCUAUAGUUCCUUCUCCAACCGGUGUUGUACAGAUGCUUCCCAUUAAUGGGUUCCAACACUAAAUCCCUCUCACUGAUGCAACUUGCAAUGGUUCAUGCCUCUCACGAGCACUUACCGUUCAAGAUGAUCUUUAACCUUGGAUUACCCGUCAAAAGCUCGCAAGAGAUAACUAAUGGAUGUCUCCUUGGAGUCCAAAAGCUUACCAAGUGUUGGCAAUUCCAGAAAAUCCUACCUUCAAGUCACCUCCCAAAGGCUCGCAAGGGGUAAACUAGUGCAUUUCCAUGGUUGGAAAUCACUUGCCUUACCAAGUGUUGGCCUAGGUGACUCUAAGGUGUUUUAAGUUAACUAAAAACAUAGAAAUCACUAACGGGUCACACUUUCUCUUCAUUAAAAACUAAAACAACAAAACUUCCAAAUUAUGCAUGUGGAAACUUACCCGGCUUUCCUCACUCCAAGAGACAAAAAGCUUAGCCUCUCAUCCUCUGUGGAAAAAUCCUCAGAGUUUGGUUGGCUAGAAAAUGAAAAUGAAAGAGAAGACAAGAAUAUAUAUCAAAAACAGAGCAAGUGCUCUAUUCGUUGAUUCUAUAUAUUGGAUUACAUUUAUGAUGGUCUUUACAGUGGAUGCAAGGGAGUUUAUAUAGAGAUGUUUUUCCAACCUUCCUAGCUAAGCAAUCUUAUGGUUGGUGGAUUACAAGGAGAAGAAUGGAAAUUUAUACAAAAAUAUCUGAAGAAAAUAUCUAAAAGAGUCGGUGCACAAAUAUCAGGAAGCACUAAGGACAUUUCGUAGGUGAAAAUGGUGUCUGCGAGAUUUCGCAGACACUCAAGAGGGCUACGAAAUAUUUUCGCAACAACAAGUUAAACUCGCAGGGCUACGAAAUUGGCUUCCACCUUGAGGUUCUCAGCGUUCCAACUUGCGGCAUGUAUCGGGUAGCUUCAGGAGGAAUUCCAUAGCACUGUACAAAAAGGCUGCGAAAUUCUCGCAACAAAAGGCUGAUUCCGCAACACUUUAGAGUGAUUGACUUGCAGUGGCUGUAACUUCUUCGUUUCAACUCCGAAUCGUGCACCGUUUGAAGCAUUGGAUUCUUGACUUCCUGAGCUUUGAAAUGGUAUAUAGAAUGUAGAAAAUGGACUUCGGGAAGUGCUCCAAAAGUGCACAUGAAGACUGCAGCUGCUUGUCCUCUGUUUUCUUCACUCUGUUUUUCCUCUCUCCUUGCUUCUUUCCUUGCAUACUUUGAACGACUUUGGCAAAGGGCUAUGGAGCUCCAAAACUUGGUUCUUCAUGAAUUUGAGCUCUUCAUUGCUUUGCCAUGGAUUCCAAAUAACUCUCCUCAAUCUUGGAUUGUUUUGGUGAUCAAAUUACUAACAAAAACACCAAAACUUACACAAUUUGAUUAGAAAUGAUUGCAAGGGUCCUUAACAUGUUAAUUGAGUUAAAAGGCAAUAACUACUACUCAAAAGUGUUUAAAAGAGUUAAUUACAAGCUAUCAAAUAGCACUUUUUGAGUAGUAAUCACCAAGACCUUCAAAUCAAAGUGUUAUUGGAACUAGAUGGGUCUUUAGAAAUAAAAUGGAUGAAAAUGACAUAAUUGUUAGAAAGAAAAUAAGGUUGGUAGUCCAAGGUUUUAAUCAAGAAGAAGUGAUAGAUUAUGAAGAAACCUUUGCCCCCGUAGCUAGGUUGGAAGCCAUUAGGAUGCUACUUGCCUUUGCAUGUUUUAAAGACUUUGUUUUAUAUCAAAUGGAUGUGAAAAGUGUUUUUUUAAAUGGCUUUAUAAAUGAAGAAGUAUAUGUUGAACAACCACCCACUUUUCAAAGUUUUAACUUUCCCAACCAUGUUUUUAAACUUAAAAAGUGGUUUGAAACAAACACCUAGAGUAUGGUAGGAAAGAUUGAGUAAAUUUCUUUUGAAAAAGGGUUUUAAAAUGGGAAAAAUUGACACAACUCUUUUUAUAAAGACCAAAGAAAAUGAUAUGCUCUUAGUUCAAAUAUAUGUUGAUGAUAUCAUUUUUGGUGCUAUUAAUGUUUCUCUUUGUGAAAAAUUUUCUAAGUGCAUGCAUAGUGAGUUUGAAAUGAGCAUGAUGGGAUAACUCAACUUCUUCCUUGGACUUCAAAUCAAGCAACUAAAGGAAUGAACCUUCAUCAAUCAAGCAAAGUAUAUAAGAGAUCUGCUCAAAAGGUUCAACAUGGAAGAAGCCAAAACAAUGAAGACUCCAAUGAGCUCAUCCAUCAAGCUUGAAAAGGAUGAGAAAGGUAAAUCCAUUGACUCAACCAUGUAUAGAGGCAUGAUAGGUUCUUUGCUAUAUUUGACCGCUAGUAGCCUGACAUCAUGUAUAGUAUAUGCUUGUGUGAUAGAUUUCAAUCUUGUCCUAAAGAAUCUCACUUAAGUGCCAUAAAACGAAUUCUUAGAUAUUUGAAAGAAACAAUGGACAUAGGCUUAUGGUAUCCUAAGAGUGAUAACUUUGAAUUAUUGGAUUCUCGGAUGCCGAUUUUGCCGAUUGUAGGGUUGAAAGAAAAAGCACUAGUGACACUUGUCAUUUCCUAGGACACUUAGUUGUUUCAUAGCAUAGUAAGAAGCAAAAUUCGAUAGCCUUAUCAAUGACGUAAGCUGAAUACAUAGCAGCCGGUUUAUGUUGUGCACAAAUUCUAUAGAUGAAACAAACACUUAGUGAUUUUGAGUUAUCUUUUGAGCAUGUUCCUAUUAAAUGUGAUAAUACUAGUACCAUAAAUAUUUCAAAAAAUCCCGUGCAACACUGUAGGACUAAGCAUAUAGAGAUUAGACAUCAUUUUCUUAGAGACCAUGCACAAAAGGGUGACAUAACACUUGAAUUUAUAAGCACAAAAUAUCAACUUGUUGAUAUUUUUACAAAACCUCUAAGUGAAGAACAAUUUUUUGAUAUUAGAAGACAAUUAGGGGUGAUUUCUUUAUGAUCUAAUUAUUGCUUAAUGAAUUCUUGAUGAAUAUGCCUUCUGAUUGCAUGAAAUUCAUGUCAUAUGCAUCAUAUAGACAUAUACUUAGAUAAAUGGUCAAAUUUUGACUAAAAAUCAAAAUUUCCUUGGCAUUAGGCAUAAAAAAUUGGGGAUUUCAACUAAAAGGGGCAGGGGGAGGAUCACAAGAUGAGAAAAUGCACAAAACUUAAAAAUUCAAAUCGUUGACCGCGUUGACUAGGCGGUUGACCGGACGAGGACAGGUUGACCGGAUCGUCAGGGCUGGAGAUUUAAAGAGACUCCCGCGCUUCAUUUUCUCACCCGUUUUCUCUGGUUCUUCAAAGGUUCUGUCGAUUCAGCUGCCAAUGAGUGAUUUUUGAGGCCAUUGCAGCAGAUUGAGGGCUUCAGAUUGAUUUUUAGAGGCUAGGGUUUUGGAUUUGGGACGACUUCUCCUCCUUCAGCGCCCCAUAGUCAAUUUUAGCUCCAUUCCCGCGCACAUAGGGUUUCGGGUGUGUGUACUUCUCUCUCUACCAGCCUUGUCUCCUUUGUUUCUACAUUUCUCAUGGCUCCUAAGAGAGAGUGGGCUGCAUCUAGGGCACAAGGCAAGUGUCUAGCUGAGUCGUUUCAGCCUGCUCAGACGGAGGCUCGCCGAAAGGCGAGGUUUGACACAACUCUAUUCAGAACUGUGGAAGAUUAUCAGAGGUACAAGCAAAAGUUCGUUAAGAGGAAAGUAGUUCCAGGGAGAAGUGUCAAUUUCUCCCAAUUCUAGCAUUUCGAGUUUGAGGGACUUUUCAAUCAGAUGGGUUGGCUGCCUGUAGUGACUAUUUUGGAGCCAAUUUUUUCGACAUUGGUGAGAGCGUUUUAUUCGAGGGCUACAUAUGGAAUUGGUGGCCUGAUUAUUUCCACCGUUAGAGGAGUUGAGAUUCAGUUGGACCUAGAGAGCAUCUGCCGCAUUUUAGAUAUUGCUCCAGUUGGACUCAGGGUGUAUGAGUCCAAGGUUUCACUGUGCCAGGUUUUGAGCCUAGAGAGGCCAUUCAGAGGAUGUGCAGACUUGCAGACACCCAAGGUAUGGGCAAACCAUCGGCCCAUAGCUUGACUGUGAUCAGCAGAGUACUGUAUCACAUGAUUUGCUCCAUCCUACUGCCAUGAGGCAGACACUGAGAUGAGGUCUCCUAUUUUGAGGCAUUCCUCGUGGACUCUAUUCUGACGGGGAGACAGAUUCAUGUGAGAUAUUUGAUGAUGAUGUACAUGAUCUCAUGUUGUGAGAGCACGACCCGCGUACUCUCCUAUGGUCGCUUCCUCACUAGAGUAUUCAAGGAUACUGGGGUGGAUUUGAGUAGAGAGACAAACUUUGAGGCCCCUAGCACUUAUGAUACAUAUGAUGAGCAAUCUUUGAGGUAGAUGAAAUUUGAGAAGGUAUCCGAUGGUUCCUGGAUCAAGAGACCAGAGAGACCACCAGCAUAGACCCGGGGAUAGGGACAUGUGCAUCCCGGAGUAGAGGAGGAGGCCGAGAUAUGAGAGAUGGAGGGUGGAGUAGACCCUCAAAGAGGCUUUCAAUAGAGAUAGCUUGAGCUUGACAUACCUCCACUCCAGUCCGAGGGUGUUCAGUUUGAGACCACAUUUCCUGAGCUGAUGAUUUAUGAGUCGACUUACACAGCGGGACCAUCUUCUUAGUCAUCAUUCACUGAGCCUUUUCACAUAGAGACACCACCUCAUCAGGCACCUCACGCUCCUGAUCAUGCGACUUGGAUGGAUUUAUCUGCUCAGAUUAGCUCUCUUAGAACUCGCAUGGAGGAGUUUGUAGUAGUUAGUGAUAUUCGAUUCUACUCCAUAGAGGAUUGCAUGGAUCAAUAUCAAACUGACUUCACUUCUUAGUUUGAGUAUCUGCAGCAGAGAUUUGGGCGUAUGGAGGAUCGCAUGGAUCAGUAGUAGACUACGUUUGAGUAUCUCCAAUAGAGGAUUGAGCACAUUGAGAGUCGCUGGGAGAGUCAGCAUGAGGAGAUGAUGGCUUACCUACGCUUCAUGUUUCCACCUCCACUUCCUCAGCCUGGAUUUCAUAGAGAUCCCUAUUCGUUUCUUUUUGAUAUUGCCAAAAGGGGGAGAGAUAUUUAGGAUCUAGGAGACUCAUAUGCAUAUCAUUGUCAUAUCAUUUGUUUGGAUUGGCUUAUAUGCUUAUGUUUCAUAUACAUUUGACUUUACUUAUAUAUGAUAUGCUAUAUGUUUCAUGAAUUACACUAUUUUCUAUUAAAAAUCCACAUGUCUUGAUUAUCUUGGUUAUAACUUCAUAAAUUUUAAUUGUUUGAUCCAUGAUUGGUUUGAGGGGGAGAUUUUUUCUUCUCCUAGAUAACCAAGGUUUGUCAUCAUAAAAAAAGGGGAGAUUGUUAGCCCAAAGGUUCUUCUAAUCAGGUUUUGAUGAUAACAAACCAUGGUUAAGUUACUAAUUGUUUUGAUUUGUAAAACAUCUUAUGUAUUAAUUUGGGAAUUCAUCAAAGGACCUAAUGGAUACAAGAUCAAGUCAUUUGAAAAACUUUUAAUAAUAGGAAACAAUUGUAAGAUGAAUGCAUGGGUGCACUUAGGUUUUACAUAUCUUUUCAUGCAUAUUUGAAAAACUCGAUUUAUUAUUUAAAGUUACAAUUUCAUUAAAACUUGAGUUUUAUCAAAUGUACCUUAGGCAAAACGUUUCAAAAUUGGCAUAUUAAUUUACCUAAAGACCUUGCCUAAGUGGUAGAAAAGAAAAGAAUUGAAAAAGAUAGGUUUUCAAGGCUAAAAGACUGUAUCGGUCGAGGCACUGGCCAUCCGGCUCAACUGGCCAGGGAACCGGUCGACCGGUCUCCCUUGUCCGGUUAAGAAGUCUUAAAAACACUCUUUCUCAUCCAGUACCUUUCCUUUCCCCGGUUGAGGUAUCCUUCUUCAUUGUCGAACUCCGAUCAAAGCAAUGGUAACCUACCAAAGCAUUAAAUGCUCCAUCGGCUAGAGAACCGGUCUACCCCUAACUCGAUUGGUUGAGGCUACUUUUUAUUUUUCUUGGUUCCCGAGGUUAGAAACCUAUAAAUUGAGGGCUCCACUUCAUUUAUGAUAUAAAGAACACUUGCAUUCAAUUGUUUACCCACUUGUUCUUGCCUUAAAAUCUCUCAUUUCUUUCUUGGUGCAUUAAAUCUAUACUUGCAUAUCCUUCAGUGUACCUUUGUGUUUCAUCUUAACUUUGAUUUAUAUUUGAGUUAUCAUUGAGUUAGGUUGAGGGAUUCAUUCUUAUAAAAAUUGAGUGUUAAAGCCUUCAAGUGAGUUGAAUCUUGAAGAGAUUGUGUAAGAGCCAGAAUCCAAGUGUAAAUAAGAUUGGAAGCUUGGUUGAAACUUCAAGUUAGUGGAACCCUCACUCGAUUAGGAGAUUGAGGAGAGUAGAUGUAGGCAAGGAAGUGCCAAACCAUUAUAAAAUCUGAGUUUGCUUUCUCUAACUCUAUCUUUUUAUUUUUUUUCUUUUAUUGUGCUUGAAUUUGUUGUGUUGAAAAAGUUUUUGAAAAACCCAAUUCACCUCACUCUUGGAUGUUUUUCUCAUUUAAAUUUAGCCUUUAUUUUCUCAGAUUUUUCACUCCGACGUUAAGAUACCAUGCAUUUUUCUCCUUAAUGUCUCAUUUAUGUGUUAAUAAUAAAGUAAGUUCUUAUUCAUUUUUCUUUCCAACAUAAUUGGUUUUCUUUUCCACAUUGUUAGUAGCACUUAAAUAUUUUAUAUGUAUAAUGACCCAAAUUUUGAUAUAACAUCAUUGAAUUUAAGAUUUAUCAUACAUUCUUUUUUGGUUUUACCUUAUAUUGUGCCUUCUUCCAUGAUGCUGUGCGGAAUAUGAAUUUUGAUUUGAUGCUUCAUCGUUUAAUAAAUUGAAAUCAUAUUUUUCUCUAUUUAAAUGGCCUUGACCAUGCCUACAACAUCGUUAUUUUGGCUUCCUUCAUUGCUAAUAUUUUCUUUCUUUUCCUUUAAUGCAAUCUUUGUACUUUGAAAACUUUUUCUAAUUUUUCACGAUUCUUUCAUUUCAAUCUUUUUUCAUGGACUUGUAAUGAGUCAUAAGAUGAUUGGUUCUAAUAGAAUUCAAAUAAUUUAACUCUUCAAAGGCCACAAAGUAUAAUUAAGCUUUGAAUAUAAAGAUUGACGUAUUUUUCUAGUUUCAUCAUUUUUUUAAUAUAUUCACAAUUAUCGAUACUUGAAAAAUAAUCUAAGCUUGAUGCUAAUUCUUUCAUAUUCACACUUUAAAAUUUUCCUCCAUUAGUUUGAAGAUAAACUUUUCAUACCUUAUCAAAUCUUUCAUAUGCACUAGUUGCACUCGAAAUUAGCUUCUUAAAGGUACUUAAUAUAUCAUUGCUUGAUUGAUAAGGGUAAGGAGCUUACUUGUCUUUUUUACCUUGUAUCUUUUAAAAAAUCCUUACUAUUUCAGGAUAUAUAGGUUGAUCUCAUGUCGUGGCUCCUUGUAAUCGUCCAUGUGUUCUACAAACCAAACAAAGCCUUUAUUUUCAUACUCCAACUAUUAUAGUCGUCUUUGUUGCGUUUAGGAAUUUGAAAUAAAAGCAUCCCACUUAUCAAUUUUUUGUUUCUUAUGGCUCUUAUAUUAGUUUGUUGGAGUAAUAGGGUUAAACACAUAACAAGCAAUUUAAACAAAGAGACAAUUAAUGAGAGAAAAUCAAGAGGAAUCCAUUGUACCUUCGAUUCUAUUUCAACUAAUACCUAAACCUUUAUUUAUAAACCUCACAAAUAAAUUAGGAAACCCAUAUUAAUAAAAAUAUAGGAACCUUCUAGGUUUGAAUUACUUACACAUAUAAGCUAAAUCUAUCAUUCAAAUAAUAAUAAUAAAAAUAUUCUAAUUGAAUUUUAUUAAAAAUUAAGACAAAUCUAAUUUUUGGAAAUUUACUAAAUUCAAGUUUGCCCUAGUGGGCUCUAGCCAUGUGGUGAGAAGCUUCCCAUGUGCUAUAACCUAAUUUCAGUUGAACAUGUACCAUCAUUUGAGGUUAGUAAGAAUUUAAGGUAGUGUUUGUUUUUUUGACUUAAUUCUAAAUAGAACUUAAAACUAAAUAAUGUUUAAUAGUACUAAGUAUUUAGUUAUUUGUUUUUUUAAUAUUUCAUUUUUAUUAAGCACUAAAAAGUAAAAAAAAAUCAAUAGGUUACUUUGAGCAUUUAGAAAAAGCAAAAUAUUUGAUAUUUUUGUUUAGUAAAAAAAUUUAAGAAAUAGAUAAUCAAAUAAUAAAAAGCAAAAAAAAAAUAAAAAUAAAUAAAUGCUUUGAAAUCUAAAAGUAAGUUGCUUUAAGCAAAAAGUUCAAAAACAAACAGCACCUAAGAGUAUGCCAUAACUAACACAAAUGAUUGAGCUCAUUGCUAAAAUUACUGAGAGCAGACAUUUCAAAAACAGGCUUGUUCUUGAGGAGAUUAUUGGUGAAAUAAAAUGCUUUGUAGUUCCUUUCAAGCUCUGAGAAAUUUCUAGUUGUUCAACAGAUUUGAUAAGAAUAAGCCCACGAGGAAGAUGACAAUCAUAUAUAUUAAAAGACACAAAACAACUAAAACAUUACAUCAAUAUCAGGUCUGGCCAUCACCAUGGCAUAAGGUCCUCUUUGAGCUCAGACAAAGGGAAAAAUGAAAUCCCUACAAAGGAUCCUCCUUGUAAAUACGCUCAGGCACGUUAUGAAAUCUAGCCCAUACAAGAGCAAGGAAUGAUGGAAGCUGCUGAAGGGAAAUGAAUGUUAUGACCAAGAUGGUGACUGCAUACACCGGAAACGCAGCAUAAUAUUUCAGUUGAUUGUCAAGCAUCAAGAAAUGCCCUGAGAUGAAACAUAUCAACAUGGCCAGCAUGGAUAUAAAGAGAGAGGUUAAACCAAAUAAGAGGUUCCUAGGCACGUUCUUACUGAAAUCUUUAUAUUGGCACUUGGAGGUGAGAAUGGCGAAAAAUACGAGCAGUGAGAUGAAGGAAGAGCAAAGUGCAACUAGGGCUGAAAUUGCAAAAAAUCUGAAAGCCAAAUGGUGUUGGAAAAUUGGUUUGCCAGUGUCUUGGUCGACUCCGCCUGGUACGGUGGCUGAUGAAGCAAAGGCGACAGUUGCUAUUAGAGCUGCAAUGAAAGAGCAGGAAUUGCAUGUGCUGUUGAGCCAUUCUUUGGUUUUUUCUAAGAGUUCCUUAUGUGUUUCUGUGAAUGUCUGGUCAGGGGUCUUUUGAAUCUCAUUAGGACUGGCAGAGACAUUCAGUCGCAAGGAUUUCUUCACAUACUGCAAUAAUCCCAAGUACAUAUCCCCAAGUUACUGUAUUUACAAUUAAUAGCUCAAAUGUAACACCAUGAGAAAAAUUCAAACAACAAAUUAAGAAAUCAAUUUUGCAUACCUCAUACCAUUUGACUUCCCAAUGCAUUGGCAACGUGCUGGAGGGGCUAAGCCAGCUUUCAUAAUUUUUUAACUUGGCAGCUAGAUGCAAUGCGUUAUUCCCGUCUUUAUCCACUGCAUGAAGUGCAAGGUCUUUAUCACGAAGAUGAGAACUCUUGAGCAAGAAGUCAUAUAGAUGCGACUGCCUGUUCUCCACUGCCAACAGCACUAUGUUCUUCCCUGUUGAGUCCCUGUCAUGAAUGGUCAUGGGAAGAUCUUGCAGGGUUUUCUCUACCAUUUCCACAAUGCCAUUACUUGCUGCAAUCAGUAUUGGCGUCGAGCAACCUGCAAAUAGAAAAUCACAUUGUAGAGAAUAUUGAAAGGUGAAUCUCAAUGAUCGAACACACCUAGAGGAGGGUGAAUAGGUGUUAUUGACCAAUUUAAAAGGUCUACCAACACAAGUUAUCUAACAUUAAGAUUCUUACAAAUUUUCUUCUCUUUACCAGCACUUUCAAACACAAAGUAGAGAUGACAUGCAAAUGUGAAUGCAACAACACUCCCCAACAAGAUUAAAAUGCAAGUCACAAGCACAUGUUCCAAUACUCCCCAACACAAUUCCUUAAAUCAAAUUCAGAUUAAAAGAAAUUGUAUAAUAUAUCAAAUAUACCUAAGAACAAUAUUCAGAAAAAAUAUUAAAUUAUCCAAGGGCAUCUCAUAUUUAUUUCAUCUCAACAUUCAACCAAGUAUUAGAUGUCUAAAAUUUCAAAGAGAGCUGGAAGCUGAACGUGAAAUGAAUAGGAGAAUGAGAGACAAUGAGACAACACUAGAAUUUACGUGGAAAACCUCCAAAGAGGUAAAAAACCAUGGGUCUACAACCGAUUGAAAAUGUCUACUAUGAAGAACAAAAAUUGAAUAUUACAAGGUUUUACCUAACUCAAACCUACCAAUCAUUCUUGGACCACUUGACUAGUACCUUUCACAUUUACCUUUUCACCUUCUUAUUCCAGAGCACACUUGGAAUUCACACCAAACUCGAUCUUGGCCUCUUCUUAAAUCCACACAAGGAGAAAAUGGGUUUUUACACAAAUCCAACUAGAUUCAAAAUUGAGAGAUGAAUGAAUGAAGAAGUAACCUAUUUCUUUCUCAAGAAAAUCCAUUAAAAAAAUUUGCUUGAAAACUUGAAUGAAAUUUUCUUGGAAAGCAAACGACCUCAAAAAGAGAAGAGAAUGAGGAGCACAAGAACAGUUGCUACAAUCUCUCUACCUAUAGUGGGAGAAUUUUUUGAAAGCUGAUCUCAAAAAGAGGUUAUUUGGAUCGAUUUGCCCCUACACUUGGAUCGAUCCAGAAACAGGGUAACUUAAAACUUUUAGCAAACAUUAUUUCUCCCGGCUUCCCUAACUCUUUUAAAAUGAUUCAAAACAAUCAACACUUUGAAAAUGGGGUUGAUUCAAAUUCAUUCAACCACAAACUCAGUUGCUUACCUUGGCCUCUUAGCAAAUCCAAUGUUUUGAUCUUCAUAAAUCAAGUAGUUCGAAGAGGAUUGGAAAAUGAGUUAGGAGACAUUUAGGAAUUUUGUUUGAAAUUGCCAACUUAGCUAAACACUCACAAAUAUGAUUGCAUAUCAACAUUAAUAACGUUAAAUUACUGAUUUUUUAAAAAGUUUUUGGUUAUUAUAAUAAAUUUUGAGAGCUUGAGAUAUUUGGAAAUAUCUUCCUAUUAACAUCUUUUCUAUAUCAAAUGGUUAGUUUUCAAACAUUUUAAUUCUAUAAAAUAAGAAUAAAAAUAAUACUUUUUUAUUUUUUAUUUAUUUUAUUUUAUGAGGACAAACAUAUGUACUUACUGAUUUAUAAAUGUUUUCGUAUACAAAAAUUAAUACAUUUAAAAUAAUUAAGUUGAAUAAAAAAAAAGGUAUUAUUUAAACUUAAAUAUAUGCAUUUAAUUCUAUUCCUACUUAAGGCGAAUUUAAGUCAGAUUUAAAAAUAGAAAGGGGAUACCGUGGCCUCUUCUGAAGUACUCAUACUCUGAAUGACAGAAACUUUUUCCCUUGCUUGUUCCCUCGUGCUCAUGGUACUGUAAAAGCCGCAUAUUUCUAUUGUCUUCUUGCUCCUGAUAGCUUUUAGCACAUUUAAGUAGUUUGUCCAUGAUCUGACGAGACCGGAUGUGCAUCUCCUUUUUCUCUUUUAGCUUCUUUAUCUCACUUGAUCCUUACAUAUAUCGACAAACAAUAAAAAACAUGAUUAGAAUCUAUACUGUUUUGAAGAUUAAUAAAAUAGGAAUUCGGGAUGAUAAGAUCAUCUAUGGGGUUAUAAUUAAACCUGGAAUUCUUAAGCAUAUGACCAGCAAUAUUGCUUUGGAUAUAAUAAGCUUGAUGGACCUCAACCAUGGGCAGAAAUUUGAGGGAGAUCGUUGAUCUAUACAAACUUAUAGAAAUCAGUAUUUUAUUGAAGUUGCUUCUAAGACUUUAAUUAGCUUGAAUCAAGUAGAACCUAUACUCAGCAUGAUCUGCAUUAAUACCUUGUCCUUCUGUAGGAUUUUCUGCAUCUGAGUGCUUCUUGUUUUUUCCUGUACAUUUCCACUAGUUACUGAAACUGUAAACUAUAUAUAGCUUGGUCACAACAUUCAUGAGCAAGGAUGAGUAUAAGAGUCUGAGAUCUCAUAAUUAAGCAGACAUGCAAACCAUUUGAUUGCUGUUUCAUUUACUAUGAAUAAAUCAAUCAGUGGAUGAUGCCAUUCAUGUUUAUGCCGCGUGGCUAUAAAAGGUUUUCUUUUAAGUUAUUAAUCCUAGCACCCACCUGGUGGUUUAAUCAUCUGCCAUGGCUUUUGAAAGAAGUUGCUACAGUGUUGAUAGUUCUUUGGAUGUUGGGGGCUCUCGUGUGAAGUCUCUGGGAUGAGCUCUUCAACAAAUAUACCUUGCAAAUUAACAAUGGGAAAUUUUCAGAAAUUUGUGGCCUUAUUGGCUAACAAAUGGUACAUGCAUGCAUGCACUACAUUCAUUCAGCCUCAUGCUCUGGCUGCUUCCAAAGAUGAGUUGCUAAAUGGUAAUUGUCAUAAGUGUUUUAUGAGUGAUAUAAGGAUUGGAAAGUGUCCUAAAUUCCAAUUUGAUAUUUAUUAAUUUUGAUAAUAAGGUAGACGUGAGGAAUGUCUACUCAUAAACAAUAAGAAAAGUUAGAAAUAUCUUUAUAAAUAUUUCACGAAGAAAAAAAUGUGAUGAAAAAAUUGAGAUAAGCAUGUAAUACAUGAUGUAAGUGGAGAUGUAAGGAAGAGUGUAAAACUUGAAAAUAUGUUUAAUACUAAAAUAAUGAACUAUUUAAUUAGGAUCUAUGUAUUCAAGGAUAUAAAAAAAUUAUGAUAUAUAUAAUUAUUUUUUUAUUUAAAAAUAUUUAUAAUUUUAUUUAUACAUUUAUAUUUUCUUGUAUUUAUGUAUUAUACAAAAGGUAAAAGGAAAAAUUUAUUAAGAAGAUUAUCAAGAAGGAUUUAUAUUUUAAUAUUGUAUUUUUAAUAUAUAUAUAUAUAUAUAUUAAUCAUAAGAGCAAAGUUGUUGUCCGGAGCUUUUUUUCAAGGUCACAUGAACUUGGAAGUAGUUUUUGGCUGGGAAAGUCUUACAAUUAUAAAUGAUUUUCUUGAACAAGCCGAGAUGAAUCCCGCUUCUAAAUGCAGUAGGUUUCUCAGCUAGGAGAUGUAGUGGAGACUUUCCAUUGUCUAAGUAGUCCAUGAGAUGCUUGCCCUUGAGAUUCGGAUUUUCAUCCAUUUGAAUGAUUUGAAAUGCGAGAUCUGUGGGAGAAAAACAAUACAUUAGGCCUGUUUCAUACUGUAUGACGUGUUUUAAGAAACACGUACUGGAUAUAACUAAACCUUGUUUGGUAGUGAUGACUGAGGAGUCAAAUUAUAUCCCAAAACAGUUUCUAAAUUAUAUCCUAAAAUCUUCUACUAAUCCUGGAAACAUCGCUUAGCUGGUUUUACCAUUUUUUAAAUUUUGUUUUCUAAAACUUGUAUAAUUAAGAGUUCAAUGCUUACCCAUAUAUCCUCCUUCAAUGGCGCAGUGCAGAACAGUGCCUCCACCCUUGAUUCCACAGCACUCAUGCGCUUUUGUGUCGUCCUCGAACUUUUUAUAGAGCCAAAGGAAAGCGUCUUUCUUACCAUGGCGAACUGCCAAGAAAAGAGGCGUUUCAGACUCCUUGUUGCGUUGACCCAACAGUUGUUUAUACUCACCGGUGAUGCAUUUGCACAUCUCAAUGUUUCCCAAUGAAGCUGCCAAAUGGAGGGGAGUAUUCCCUCUUUCAUUUUCUAUAGAGAGAACAUCCUCAGGCUUUUCCCAAGUACUCUUAGUAAUCUGUACUAGCUGGUUAACUGUUUCUUCUAGCCGGCUUUCCACCGCUAUAUGCAAUGUAGUGUUCUUUAAUUUACCGAUCUUCAUCGUGUGAGCUUGUGGAUGCUCCUCGUAUAUCUUUACUACAUUUUCCCAACUUCCGGCGAUGCCUUCAGUCAAGUCUCUCUCAAUCCACCCACUUUUUGCUGCAUCCGCAACACUUGUAGAAGGCAUUGCUCCUGCCCUUCGCCUACCGUAGUUGCCGCUGAGAACCAAGGUUUGGUGAAAAAGAAGAGAGGACAAAGGCUUUGGAUGCGUGGCUCUGAAUUCCACCAGAAGACCACCCCCUACACCACGCUUUUAUAAACGGAAAAUUAUUGAUUUAGGCAGAAAUUUGGAGGAAAAAAAAAAAAAAAAAAACAGUGCCCCAACUGUUAGCUAUUAUGCAUCAAAAGCCCAAAACCAAAAUCAUCCAAAUGGCCAAAAACAGUAACUCCAAAAAUUACCCUUAUUAUCCAUCUUAUAAACCCAUUUAUGUUCCUUGCUAAAUGUACCCACUCUUUUUCUUUUUGAAAUUUGUUACUUUACAAAAUCUUCCACGCUAUAAAAUAUAUAUUUUUUCAUAUCCUUUAAUUUUGAUCCAAGAAAUUAUGGUAUUUAUUGACUUAUUUUUUACAUUCCAAAUUAUUUUAAAAAAUUAAUAAACUUAUAAAAGAAUCUAACAUAUCAAGUCUCAGAGUUUGUUUCCUUAUCAAAAAUUUUAAAAGAUUUCGAAAAAAUCAAUUAGAAGUUGAAUACAAAUAAACACAUGUAAGUCUAUACUACUCUUUGGUUAUGCAUGUAUUAACUUUUAUUUAAACAUAUGACACCUCAUGCUCAAACAUACACUACUCCAUUGAUUGAGCAAAAACUUAGAAUUUAAUGAAUUUACUAAUUUUCUUGAAUUUUCUCAUUAGGGAAAGGGCUCCAAAUCAAGCAAGAUUUAAUGCAUUGUUUCAUUAACUAGCUUAAUAAUUUCUAAAAAUAAUUUAAAGUUAAAAAACUGGACUAAAAUUAACUAGUCCAAAACGAUAAUGUUAAUUUCUCCUCCACACAUAACACUAUUUCGUUGAAUCUUUUUAACUAGGGAAAAAGACAUAAAAUCAUGCGAAACUUAAUGCGCUUAAUUCAUUAAUGAUUCUAAUAGUUUUUAAAAAUAAUUUGUGUUAACCAAACCACAUACACACACACACACACACGAGUAGAAAUAAAGAAUUUUUUUUUUUUUAAUGUGGUUCGAUAAUCAAUGUGAUCUUUAUGUGCACAAAUUGCACUAACACUCCAGAAUCCACUAAUUAAACAAAAGAGAAGGGUUACAAUGGUGAAGACUCUCACUCUACUAUCAAUUACGACUGCACUUUGAUUUUUAUCUCUCUCUAAAAAAAACCCUAAAUCAUAAGUGGGUUACAUAUAUAAUAAGGUCAAACUCAUCAAUAAAAAAAUAAAAAAGUUCCAUGGGGUGUUCACCCUUAAACCCUUGCAAGUUUACUGGGUAGCUUAACCCCUGACAUCCCCUAUGAAGUGUAAUAAGACUGAUUCAAGAUUCAUCCAACAAUCUCUCACUUGAAGAUUAGAGCACAAGUAAAUAUUCCCCUUUAAUGAUUAAUAAUUAUGGUGCAUUCAAACAACCUAUCCCCAUCCUUGACCUACUGAAGCUAUGCAUAGCUUUAGUUUCUCUAUUAUCACUGCUUUAGUCAAUGUGUCAAUUGGAUUCUUGCUACCCUAUUAUUGGGAUAGAGCCUUGAAAAGCAUAACAUGAUAUAACAAAUUGAGAAUCAUUAAUAAAUUUAUUUAUUUUUGUUUAUGUUUUCCUUUAUAAUUCCAUAUGUAUUAAGUGGUUAUCUAAGCAUACACACCCAUAAAAGAUAUCUUAUGUAGACAACUUGGUGGAUUCCUUAACCAUGACAUUAACGGGGAAAGUCUUUGAUGGUCACAAGGAUAACAUAGGUUUCAAUUGAGUAUCUAGUAUGCUUUAAAGGCAUAAUUCUUUGAGAGCUAAUGGAAGAUCAUUAGGAUGGAACCUGUAAAAGCAUGACAUGAUGUAACAGAUUUGGAAUUUGUUAUUCAUUUAAUGAUGUUCUAGCUUCAUUUUGUUUAUUCUUAUUUCAUUCAUUAUACUUUAUGAGCAUUUUGGUUUAACAUCUCUUGCAUUAUAUAUAACUUAGAUGCAUUAGAAGUUGCAUGAAAGAUCCAAGUUAUGAGUUUCUUUCAAGUAGAUGAUUUAUUCACAAUUGGUUCGUGGACUUAGGCAAUUCAUUUGAGGUUGUAGUGCAGUACCUCCUAAUUGGGGAAUGACUGGUCUUGACCAUCAGGAUGAGGUUCCUAUGGUGAGUACACUAGUGUGUAUGGUUACACAUUGGACAAGACCUAAGGUGAGUCAUGACAUAAGACUACUGGGUAGUCAUGACUUCACUAAGUUGCUAUAUAAUAUUUUUUUCUCAACCUUGAGAGAAUAUUGAGUUUGUGCAGAAGUUAGCAGUGACUUUGACCAAUGGGUGAGAUCUUAAAGUGCAAUGGGUACUCUCGAUAGAGACACCAUGAUAUCUUGUAGACUUUGAGAUAAUGUGUCAUCUUAGGUGAUCCUAAGGAAGUGUGAUCAUGAAAUCUAUAGGCUUGUAGUAAUUCCUUUAGUAUUGGAAUUUGACAUAUACUCUUAGUAAGUUAGAGUAUAUCAUUUAAUCACACAAUAACAGGUUCUAUAACUUAAGAAUUGUAGAGGUAGUCUUGAAAGGCUAAUAAUUUUCACCUUGUUAGACUACAAAUGACUAAUUCAUAAGGAGACGAUAUAUAGUGGAUAACAGGUCACAUAUCCAAUAUACAUAGGGUAUUGAAGUGCAAUUAACUCUCUAUAGUGGGAUGUUGAGUCAACUUCAAAAUUAGAUUUUGAGAGAACUAGUAUCGUAUGUGAUAUAAUGUACGAGACUAGAUAUUUGCUUUGCAAUAGGUAUGGUGAGUAGAUAUUAGUCAAAUUCAAACCUAAAACAUUGAACAACUGUUAAACAUAUACUUAAGUAUCUUAGGAGAACAAGAGAUUAUAUGUUUGUGUUCUAGAGUGACAAGUUAGUACCUAGUGGGUACAUAGACUUAGACUUGUAGUCUGAUAAGGAUUCUUAUUGGUCUACCUCCAGUUUUGGUUUUACUUUUGAUGGUGCGACUGUUAGUUAAAGAAGUGUGAAACAAUCUUGUAUUGUUGAUUUCACUAUGGAAGCCAAAUACGUUGUAAUUUCUAAAGCAACAAAGGAAGUUGUUUGGCUUAGAAAGUUCUUUAUUGGACUUGGGGUCGUGUCUUUGGUUAUACAAUCCAUGAUAUUGUUUUGUGACAACAGUGAGGCUAUGACACAGUCUAAAAAACCAAGAAACCAUUAGAAAGGUAAACACAUUGAGAGGAAGUACCACUUGAUUCUUAAGAUAGUUUAUAGAGGUGAUAUAAUGGUUGAGAAGAUAUUUUCUAUAGAUAACUUGACGAACCCCUUUCACCAAGACAUUGACAAAAGAGUCUUUGAUGGUCAUAGGGAUACAUAGUUGCCAGAUGUGUAGCUANNNNNNNNNNNNNNNNNNNNNNNNNNNNNNNNNNNNNNNNNNNNNNNNNNNNNNNNNNNNNNNNNNNNNNNNNNNNNNNNNNNNNNNNNNNNNNNNNNNNAAAGUCAUGGGUUCCCUUGUAAGUAGAUGACUUAUUCAUAGCUAGUUUGUGGGCCUAGACAAUUCAUUAGAGGUUGUAAUGUACUACCUUCUAAUUGGAAGAAUGACUGAUCUUGGUCAUUAGGAUGUGUUUCCUAUGGUGAGUGCAUUAGUGUGUAUGGUUACACAUUAUAUAUGACCUACAAUGAGUCAUGACAUUGUUAGGAUAGAGUCCUUAAAAACAUAACAUGAUGUAAUAAACUUUUGGAUUUAUUAUUUAUUAAUAAAGUUCUGGUUUAGUUUUAUCUAUCCUAAUUCCAUGCAUUAUACCUUGUAAGCAUUAUGACCUAUAUGUUUAUGAGCCUUUGCAAUGAGUUGGUACUCUUUUCAUACUUGGAAAUUGGACUUUCAGUUUGAUAAGGACUCUCAUUGGUCUACCUCUGGGUAUAUGUACGCUCUAAGUGGUUUUUGUCACUUCUAUAGUAACAAAGAAAGUCUUUUAGCUUAUGGGUUUGUUCCCUUAGCUAUAUCGUUUAAGAUCCUGUUAUGUGAUAACAAUGGGACAAUGGCAUGGUCUAAAGAAUAGAAGUAACACUAUAAGAGAAAACACAUAAUGAGGAAGUGUUACUUUAUUGUGAGAUAGUACAAGGAGAUGAUAUGGUUAUAGAGCAAAAUCUUUCUAUGGUGCCCAGUCUGCUUUUGUGGCUAGUGAGAGUUUGUUGGAAUUAAGCCCCUAAAAGUAAGACAUGAUGCAACAAAGUUAGACUUAACUGUCCCCUUUUCUAUGGUGCCCAAUUUGCUUUUGUGGCUAGUGAGAGUUUGUUGGAAUUAAGCCCCUAAAAGUAAGACAUGAUGCAACAAAGUUAGACUUAACUGUCCCCUUGCUAUCCUUUUGGUGUAUUGAUAUGAAUUUUGAGCAUUCAACCCAUGUCUCUUACAUUAUAUAUGACUUGGGGUAUAUUAGGAGUUGCACAAAAGAUACAAGUCAUGGAUUCCUUGUAAGUAGAUAAGUUGUCCACAGUCGGUUCAUGAAUUUGAGUAAUCCAAUAGAAACUGUAGUGCACUGCCUCUUAAUUGGAGGGAUGACUUGUCUUGGCUAUUCGAAUGAGUUUCCCAUGGUGAGUGCAUUAGUGAAAUGAUGCACACUGGAUAGGACCUAUGGUGAAUCAUGACGCAAGACUAUCAAUUGUCAUGAUUCGUCAAACUACUAUACUACAUGGACUCUCAACCUUGAGAUGAUAUUAAGUCUGUAUCAAAAUCAAUAGGAGGCUUUGACCUAUUGGUGAGACCUUAAAGUGGUCAUAUAUCCAUAUGGAUCAGGUCACUAUUGAUGGAGGCUGGUGACAACAGGUAUUCUCAAUAAAGGUAUCAAAUAUCUCAUGGGAUUGAGACGGUAUAUCUCUUUAGGUGAUCCAAAGGACAUGUGAUCAUGAAAUCCAUGGCCACAAUAAUUCAUUUAGUGAAAUUUGGCAUAUGCUUCUUGGAGUAUGCUAGUUGGUUACAUAAUAAGUGAGAUCUAUAACUUAAGAAUUUAAGAGGUAAUAGUACUGCCUUAUUAGAUUACAAACACCAGUUCAUGAGAAGUCUACAUGUAGCGGAUAGUAGGUCAUAGAUUUGAGCUUUGUCUUGUUGUUAUUUAUAUAGGGUACUAAAGUACAAUUGAUUCUCUUUUGUGGAAUGUUGAAUUAACUUCAAAAUUAGAUUCUAAGGGAGCCAAUACUCCUAUGGGUCCCAGUGGUCCUUACUCUGAGCUCAUAUGUCAUGAUGACAUGGUUUAUGAGGGUUGGAUUGACACUAAGUUCAUUUUUGUGCAUAAGGAUAUUUUGGUAAUUAUGCAAGAUUGCAUAGGGGAUAAUGAACAAGGUUUCUAGAUUAGGCUAGUUGAUUAAUUAGAUAACACUAUGUGGUUAAUUAAUCAAUUAAGACUUAUUUUGAGCUAAAUUAAGUGACCUAAGCUUUGAUGAGCUCAAGCCACUUAAGCUUAGUGACCUAACCUUAUGGGUUAGAGUUUCCUAAUGACUUUGGUUAGUCAUUUUCCUUCUCUAGAGAGAGAAAGAGAGAGAGAGAGAGAGAGCCAAGGUUUCCACAAUUCAAAACCCCACACUUUAGAGUGCCAAGAUGUGGUUCAAGUCAUCAAGUAGAAGAUCUUGGGUGGACAAGACCUCCAGACUAUUCAAACAUGUUCUUCACCGCAAGAAAUUGAUAUGGGAACAUCCAAAUCCAGGUAUGGGGUUCAUAUCUCUAUAUCUAUAGUUAGUAAUGGUUUUUAUCGCCAUUUUAUUCCAUUGCGAUAGAUUUAAAGAUGCUUAGGGAUAAAUACAUGCACUUUAUGAGAUUCGAGGCAUGUGAACACAGUAAUCCAGGGUUCCCAACGCUAGGUUAAGAAAAUAUCUUGUAGUAUCUAAGACAUAUUUUCAAAAGGAUGUAGGAAGUGUUGAAAAACUCAUCAUAGAUCUCAUAAUAUCCAUAAGAGUUUGAUAUUUUAUGUCCACCAUUCCAUUUCGUUGUUGAAUUUCAGGGGUGCUUAAUUGGGAUGUAGUAUCAUGUUCUUUUAGGAAAGAAUCAAAUUCACUUGACAUGUGCUCUUUGUCUCUAUUAGAUCGAACUAAAGUAAGGCGUUUACCUAAUUGGUUUUCAAAUUCUACCUUAAAUUUGUUGAAUUUAUCUAUGGCAUCGAAUUUCCCAUGCAUAAGGUAAAUAUAACCAUAACUAGAGCAAUUAUUUGUAAAUGUGAUAAAAUACUCAUAUCCUCCAAGUGCAUGAAUAGUAAAGGGCCCACAAGCAUUCAUAUGCACUAACUUCAAACAUUCUUUGACUUUAACUCCUUUAGUUAUAAAGGACAUCUUGGUUCUUUUACCUUCUAUACAUGAUUUGCAUAUUAGAAAGUCUUCUAGAAUCAAUGAGCACAAUGUUUUAGACUUAAUUAGUCUUUGGAUCCUAUUUAGUUUAUAUGACCUAGGCAUAGAUGCCAUAAGUAUGUUUGAUUAGUGGUUGGUAUUUUUUUUUUUUUGUUUAAUGAGACUUGAUAAUUUUCACACAUUGUAGAAUAGAUAUAGAAGUAAGAUGAAAGAGAAUGUCAACCAAUGAGCUUGAGCAUAUAAAUGAAUCACACUUUCUAAUAAAAACAUUUUUAUUAAAAUAAACUAAAUACUUGCAUUUAUUUAAAUUAGAAACUAAAACAAGGUUCUUCUUAGACUUUGGUACAUAAAGACAAUCCUUGAAUUCUAGAUGACUAUUAUUCUCUAAUGCUAGGGUAACAUCUCCUAUGGCCUACAUAGCAAUCCUGGCAUUCGAUGGUAAAGUCAAGAAGAUUUUUAUUGUAUUUUACUAAAGGUGUGACUUGGAGACAUGAUUUUAGCGUAUUUUACUAAAAUCGCGUCUUCAAGACACAUUUCAAUGUAAAAUAUUGAAAACUUUAUUGAACUACUUUAAAAUCGAAAAUAAUAAUAACAAUAAUAAUAUUAACUUCAAUAAAGAUAGAAAAACAAUAAAAAUAGAAAAUAAAUGAAAAAGAAAUAAAUUAAUUUACAUAAAAAAUAUUUUAAAAAUAUAUAAAAAAUGGGAAAAGAAAAAGGAAUCGAAGUCGUGUCUUGAACCAACAAUUUGCAUGAUAAUACAUUGAAAUCAAGUCGUGUCUUGAACCAAUAAUUUGCAUGAUAAUACAUUGAAAUCAUAUCUUCAAGACAUGACAUCAAAAUAGUAUGUGAAAUAGUGUCUUGAAAACACAUCUUUACAAUGAUUCAAAAAUUAAUUUAAGCAAAACCUAUUUAGCCAUAAUAGAAAUUUUAGUGGGUAUCAUAGGCAAAGUUAUGAAGACUUGCAACAAAAUUAAAAUGGGUUGUACAGGGAAAGCGCUGUAAGUGAAUAUCGACAUAACCUAGUUGGUCAAAGUGGAAAUUUUAUUGGGUAUUAUGGGAAAAGAAUUUGGAGAGUUAUGGCAAAAGUGGAAUGAGUUUUAGGGAGAAAAUAAAAAUAUAGAUCAACAAAGAUUACUUUUAUUCUUUGGAAGUGGUACAUAACAUUGAUAAAAAAGAAAAGGAAGACGAUGAUAAUGAAUUGAACUUCUUCUAAUGGUUGUCGCAGUGGCCACCAAAACCAAGAGGUGGUUCAGGUCCGAGUUUUUAGACCUUGAAGCAGGGUCCACCUAGAUGAGGGGGAGGGAGGAAAAGAUGAUAAUGGUUAGUUUUUUUUUUUUUUUUUCAUUACUUUUAUAUUUUAUUUGGUAAAGAAAUUUGAGAUAUAUUGUUGUGGGUGUGUGAGGUUGGGGAUAGAUUUUUAUCCACAUGGGAGUGCAAUGUGGAUAGAAUUGUCGUAGAUUUGAAAGGUACUAUAUUUUAAGGAUAGAUUUUUGUCCAGAAAUACAAUGUGGAUGAAAUUAUUGUAGAUUUGAAAAGUACUAUAUUUUAGAAAUAAUGUUUUAAACUUGUACAAAAAAUCUAGCUAUGGAUGCAUAUUAGCCACUUCUAUCCUCUUCACAACUCACAUCAUAUUUAUUUUUCUUAUCUUUUCCUUUGUUUUUUUCACCAGUGCAAUUGCUUUCUCUCAUUAAUAAAGGGAGCCCUCUUUUAGUGGGUUCCACAAUCAUAACUACAAAUGCAAGCAUGAUAGACACCCAUGCUCUUUAUAAAAAACCAACCAAAUCAAAAUCAAAACAAUUGUGUUAUUCAAAAUUAAAAAAAAAAAAACACUACUAGAUAUCAAAGAAUAUAUUAUUUGUCUUUUUUAAUCUAUCCGGACAUNNNNNNNNNNNNNNNNNNNNNNNNNNNNNNNNNNNNNNNNNNNNNNNNNNNNNNNNNNNNNNNNNNNNNNNNNNNNNNNNNNNNNNNNNNNNNNNNNNNNCAAAUCAAAAUCAAAACAAUUGUGUUAUUCAAAAUUAAAAAAAAAAAAACACUACUAGAUAUCAAAGAAUAUAUUAUUUGUCUUUUUUAAUCUAUCCGGACAUGUGUUUCUUUCAAAAGAUACUUUUAUUAUUAUUAUUAUUAUUAUUAUUUUUUUAUUAGGGAAAGAAAUUUGAGAUGUCAUAUUGUGGGUUGUUUGGGAUUUGGGGUAGAUUAUUGUCCUCAGAGGAAUGCAAUCUGGAUUUGAAAAGUACCAUAUUUUAGAAAUAAUGUUUUAAACUUUUACAAAAAAUCUAGCUAUGGAUGCAUAUUAGCCACUUCUAUCCUCUUCACAACUCACAUCAUAUUUAUUUUUCUUAUCUUUUCCUUUGUUUUUUUCACCAGUGCAAUUGCUUUCUCUCAUUAAUAAAGGGAGCCCUCUUUUAGUGGGUUCCACAAUCAUAACUACAAAUGCAAGCAUGAUAGGCACCCAUGCUCUUUAUAAAAAACCAACCAGAUCAAAAUCAAAACAAUUGUGUUAUUCAAAAAAAAAAAAAAAAAAAAACACUACUAGAUAUCAAAGAAUAUAUUAUUUGUCUUUUUUAAUCUAUCCGGACAUGUGUUUCUUUCAAAAGAUACUUUUAUUAUUAUUAUUUUAUUAGGAAAAGAAAUUUGAGAUGUCAUAUUGUGGGUAGUUUGGGAUUGGGGGUAGAUUAUUGUCCUCAGAGGAGUGCAAUGUGGAUUUGAAAAGUACCAUAUUUUAGAAAUAAUCUUUUAAAAUAUCUCCUUGAUGAAAAAUAUUCUCAUCAAGAGAAGUUCUCUUAUUUUAUAAUAAUAUAAUUUCACAUAUUAUAAUUAAAGUUAUGGAAAAUAUUAUCAUCACAUGUUAUAUUAAAGUCAUAAAAAAUAGUGUCAUCAUUUCUUUUAUAAAAAUAUAAUGAGUGAAAAUUGUUAGGUAAGAGAACAAUUAAGAAAAAUAUUUUUUUUAAAUAUUUAGAUGACAUGAGAAAUGAGAUAGAGAAAAUAAUAAAAAAUAAAUAAAUUGAUGAGCAUUUUAGAAUAUUUUACUUGAUAUUUUCUUGUAAAGAAAGGGAUGAAAGUUUUAAGAAAAUAUAUAUUUCAAUAAUUUAAUUUUCUUUCUCUUCAAAUUUUUAUGGAUAACCAAAUAAGCGAAGUUGUCUUCAUUAUUUUCUUUUCUUUUAAGGUUAUGUUUGGUUCCAAAAAAAUUGAGAGAAAAUGUAAUAAAAAGAAAAUGGAGAGAAAAAAUAGAAGGAAAGAAAAAAAAUCAAGAAAAAUAAAAAAUAGGUGCAAACUUAAUAAAUUAUUUUUAUAUACUUCUUUAAACUCAUUGUACUUAUUUCUCUCUACUAUAUAAAGAUUAAAUGAUUUUAAAAUAUAUAAAAUUUUGACAAAUUUUAAUUAUAUUUGAUUUUCUUCUGCACAGUAAAACCAAAUAUAAGAAAACCACUUUUCUUAACACUUUUUUUCUUUUCUUAUUUAAAACUUUUGAGUAACCAAAUAUGGAAUAUGGUAUUAGUAGUAACUCUUUAAAAAAAAAAGGUUAUUCUAAAUCAACUAAAUAAAGUUUAUUUAGAAUUAUAAUUUUAUUGAAUAAUUGUAUUUUAUCUUACAAGAAAUUUAGUUUCAAUGUAUAUAAAUCAAUUAAAAUAAAGCUCGAUUUAAUACUAUUUCUAUAAACAUUGAAAAUAGAGAUUUUUUCAUAAUUUUAUUUUAUUAUUUGAAGUAAUCAAUAAUAUAAACUUUGAUUUCACCUAGAUGAGGAGGGAGGAAGAGGUUAUGAAUGGUUAGUUAUUAUUAUUUUUAUUUGGGAAAGAAAUUUGAGGUAUAUUGUUGUGGGGUGGUUGGGGUUGAGGAUAGAUUUUUAUCACACAAGUGCAAUGUGGAUAAAAUUGUCAUAGAUAUGGAAUCACAACUCAUAUUAUGUUUAUUUUUCUUCCUUUUCCCUUUGUUUUUUUCAUAGGUACAAUCACUUUCAGGCCCUUCUAUUAGUGGGUGUAGAUUCUACCAUAAGCAUGAUAGGUGCCCAUACUUUAUAAAAUGCCAACCAAAUCAAAAUCAAAACAAUUGUGUUAUUCAAAAUUAAAAAAAAAAACAAAAAUUACUAGAUAUAAGAGAAUAUAUUAUUUAUCUUUUAAGGGUUCUAUCCCGACACGUAUUUCUCUAAAAAAGAUACAUUUUUUAUUUUUUAUUUGGAAAAGAAAUUUGAGAUGUCGGUUAUUUGGGAUAAAGGAUAUAUUAUUGUUCACAAAGGAGUGCAAUAUGGAAGAAAUGGUCAUCGAUUUGAAAAGUACUAUAUUUUAAAAAUAAUCUUUUAAAAUAUCCAUGCUUUUAUAAAAAAAUGAACCACCUCCACCUAUUAGCGACUUACAUGCCCUUCAUAACAUACUUUAGUUUUAUUUCCCUUGUCUUUUCCUUUGUUUUUUCAUUUGCACAAUUGCUUUCUGUCAUGAAUAGAGGAAGCCUCUAUCAAUAGGCAUGGUUCCACAAUCAAAAUAAUAAAUGCAAGCAUGAUAGGCACAUAUGCUAUAUAAAAAAACCAACCAAAUCAAAAUCUUAAGCCUUUUUUUAGGAUUUAUUUUUGAAAAUAAUUUUCUAUUAUUCACAAUUUUUUUUUAAAAAAUUAUUACUAGAUAUCAAAGAAUAUAGUAGAUAUUAUGUUUUUUAAUCUAUCCCAACAUGUGCUUAAAAAAAAUACUCUCUUUUUUUCUUUACAAAUUUUAUUACUCAAUUAUUUUUAUCAAGUGUGUUUUUUGAUCAAACAUUUUUUUUCUUAUGUUAUUGAAUGAAUAAUUAAAAUAAGAGAUAAUAAUUUUAUUAUUGAAUAAAUAAAUAAUAAAACAAAAUUUAUUACUCAAUUCGUCUUGUGUUGUUACUGCUGAAAACCAAGGCUUUGAAUGAGUGGCUCCAAAUUACACCAAACUCCCGCCUGCACCACACCUUGUCUUCAAAGCAUAAAUAUUAUUAAAAAGAAUAUUUAAAUUUAAAUUUAUUUCAAUGCUUAUUUGCCCUGGAUUUCUUUUUCCAUAAAAUGAAAAAUUAUUUCAAAGUGAAAUUUUAUAAUAUUAGAAGCACUCUGGAUGCUUUAAAAAAAAAAUUAAACUUAUUUCAAUUGUUCUCUUUUUCCAUAAAAUGGGAAAUCUAUUUGAAAGUGAAUUUUAUAAUAUUGGAACUACUUCGAAUACUUAGAAUGUCUUUUAUUAAACAAAUGCUAAUUGCAUAGAGGUGGUUAGAACGCAAAAUUUUCUAUCAAACCAAAAUUUGAUAUCAUGUUGAAAUAUCAAUUUUUCUAAAAGCUUAAAUUUAUAGGAUUUGCGUUCAAUAUGCAUAUCUUAAUUUCUUAAUACUAUUUCUUAUGAGUUGAAUAAAAUUAUAGAAUUUGAAAGGUUGAUAAAUGACUUUUCAACUAAUAUUUUAGGAACAUUUUUAAGAUAACAAAGUAUAUUUUUUAUAAAUUUUGGUACAUUAUAUUAGAAAUGAGAUACACUGUUCGGGAUUAAAAGUAGAUAUUUUUCCAUAUAGAACUAUAAUGUGAAUAAAUCUAUUGAAUAUUUGGAAUUGUUUUGAAGAGUACUAUAUUUUAGAAAUAAUCUUCUAAAAAUAUCAAUACUUUUAUAAAAACUUUUAUAAAAAAUCUAGCCACCAAUGCUUAUUAGCCACUUAUAUCCCUUUCACAACUCACAUUAUGUUUAUUUUUCUUCUUUUUUCCUUUGUUUUUAUCACAGGUACAAUCGCUUUCAGGGGCCCUUCUUUUAGUAGGUAUGGAUUCUACAAUCAUAAUAACAAAUACAAGCAUGAUAGGUACUCAUGCUUUAUAAAAUACCAACCAAAUCAAAAUCAAAACAAUUGUGUUAUCCAGAAUUUUUUUUUAAAAAAAACAAACAAAAAUUACUAGAUAUAAGAGAAUAUAUUAUUUGUCUUUUAAGGGUUCUAUUCGGACAUGUGUUUCUCUUGAAAAGAUACCUUUUUUACUUUUUAUUUGGAAAAGAAAUUUAAGAUGUCGCAUUAUAGGUUGUUUGCGAUUGAGGAUAGAUUAUUGUCCACAGAAGAGUGCAAUGUGGAUGAAAGUGUCGUCUAUUUGAAAAGUACUAUAUUUUAGAAAUGAUCUUUUAAAAUAUCCAUGCUUUUAUAAAAAAAAUGAACCACCUCCACCUAUUAGCCACUUACAUGCCCUUCACAACAUACAUUAGUUUUUAUUUCCCUUAUCUUUUCCUUUGUUUUGUCAUUUGCACAAUUGCUUUCUGUCAUGAAUAGAGGAAGCCUCUAUCAAUAGGCAUGGUUCCACAAUCAAAAUAAUAAAUGCAAGCAUGAUAGGCACAUAUGCUAUAUAAAAAAACCAAUCAAAUCAAAAUCUUAAGCCUUUUUUUAGGAUUUAUUUUCGAAAAUAAUUUUCCAUUAUUCAGAAUUUUUUUUUUAAAUUAUUACUAUAUAUCAAAGAAUAUAGUCUCGUUCUAUCCCAAAAAAAAAAACUCUCUUUUUUUCUUUACAAAUUUUAUUACUCAAUUAUUUUUAUCAAGUGUGUUUUUUGAUCAAACAUUUUUUUCUUAUGUUAUUGAAUAAAUAAUUAAAAUAAGAGAUAAUAAUUUUAUUAUUGAAUAAAUAAAUAAUAAAACAAAUUUUAUUACUCAAUUCGUCUUGUGUUGUUGCUGCUGAAACCCAAGGCUUUGAAUGGGUGGCUCCAAAUUACACCAAACUCCCGCCUGCACCACACCUUAUCUUCAAAGCAUAAAUAUUAUUAAAAAGAAUAUUUAAAUUUAAAUUUAUUUCAAUGCUUAUUUGCCCUGGAUUUCUUUUUCCAAAAAAUGAAAAAUUAUUUCAAAGUGAAAUUUUAUAAUAUUGGAGGCACUUUGGAUGCUGUUAAAAAAAAAAUUUAAACUUAUUUCAAUUGUUCUCUUUUUCCAUAAAAUGGGAAAUCUAUUUGAAAGUGAAUUUUAUAAUAUUGGAACUACUCCGAAUACUUGGAAUGUCUUUUAUUAAACAAAUGCCAAUUGCAUAAAGGUUGUUAGAAUGUAUAACUUUCUGCCAAACCAAAUUUUGAUUUCAUGUUGAAAUAUCAAUUUUUCUAAAAGCUUAAAUUUAUAGGAUUUGAGUUCAAUAUGCAUAUCCUGCUUUUUUAAUACCAUUUCUUAUGAGUUGAAUAAAAUUAUAGAAUUUAAAAGUUUGAUAAAUAACUUUUGAACUAAUAUCUUAGAAACUUUUUUAAGAUAACAAAAUACAUCUUCUAUAAAUUUUGGUACAUUAUAUUGAAAAGGAGGUGCACGAGAUUAAAAGUAGAUAUUUUUUCAUAUAGAACUAUAAUGUGGAUAAAUCUAUUGAAUAUUUGGAAUUAUUUGAAGAGUACUAUAUUUUAGAAAUAAUCUUCUAAAAAUAUCAAUACUUUUAUAAAAAAUCUAGCCACCGAUGCUAAUUAGCCACUUAUAUGCCAUUCACAACUCACAUUAUUUUUAUUUCCCUUAUUUUUUCCUUUGUUUUUUUUCAAUGGUACAAUUGCUCUCUUAUUAAUAAAGCUCCCCCCUUCCCCCUUAGUGGGUAUGGGUUCCACAAUCAUAAUAACAAUCGCAAGCAUGAUAGGCACCCAUGUUUUAUAAAAAUCAAUCAAAUCAAAAUCUUAGGCUCUCUUUAGUAACCAAUUUUGAAAAUAAUUAUUUCUUAUCUAGAAUAAAAAAUAAAAUUACUAGAUAUCAAAUAAUAUACUAGAUGUCAUGUCUUUAAGGGUUCUAUCAAAAUAUGUUUAUCUCAAAAAAUACAUUUUUUUUCAAAUUUUUAUUACCAAUUCAUUUAUAAAAUAUGUUUUUAAUAAAAACAUUGUCUGUUUUAAUUAUGUUAUUGAGUAAAUAACUAAAAAAGGAGCUAAGAUUAUUGACACAAAUAAAAAUUUAUAUCAUCGAAACUUCAUGAUAAUUUUUUUUUCUUUUAAUUUUGCCAUUAAAAUGAGUGAUUCUAUAAGAUAUGCUAACACAAAAAUGUAAAAAAUAUAUUAUUAUAGCUCAUUGAAUGGUAACUUUAAGAAGCCAUCAAAUAAUUGGACGUAUGAGACUUGAUUCCAGAAGACUAAAAGGACUAUAACAAGCUUAGUAAUAAAGAAUCUGGGUAGGUCAUAUCUCCUUGUUGAUAAAAUUCAAUAUUAUUUUGUACAUUUUCUAUGAAAUAUCUAUAAUUUUGUUAAUAGAUGAGGCAAGAAUGACAGAAAGAAAUGGCACCUAUGAAAGGAUGUCUAAUGAAACGCUUAUUUCAACCAUUUGAAUACAUUGAUCAUUUUACUUGAAAUUUUUGAAUAAGAGUACAAGUGGCAAAUACUUUUUUAUGUCUGCUACACUUCACCACUAUGGUUGACAACUCUCUUUUGAUGCCAAUUAUCCAUUUUUCGUUACUUAGUCGCACAUGUUCGAUGACUAGUAAUGUUAAUUGAUAGGUAGAACCUUUAUAAUUUUAGGUACAUUUUUAAGAUAACAAAGUGUAUUCUAAAGAAAUUCUGGUAUAUAAUAUUGGAAAAGAGUACAUCGUUCGGGGUUGAUUUUUUUCCACAUAGGAGUGCAUAUGCAUAUUUUGAAAUUGUCAUAGAUUUGAAAUUAUUUUGAAAAGUAUUGUAUUUUAGAAAUAAUCUCUUAAAAUAUGUACAUUUUUAUAAAAAAAAUAUCUAGUCAUCGAUGCCUAUUAGCCAUUAAUUAUUUAUUCAAUAGCAUAAUCAAAAGUGAAAAAUGUUUUAUCGAAAACACAUUAUAUACAAUAAUUUAGUAAUAAAAUUUGUAAAAAAAAUGUAUUUUUUAAAAGAAGCACAUGUUGAGAUAGAACACAUCUAGUAUAUAUUUUUUUUUUAUAUCUAGUAAUAAUUUUUUUUUGUUUUGGACAACAAAAGGUUGUUUUAAAAAAUAAUUACCAAAGAAAGCUUAAGUUAUUGGAUUGCUUUUAAUAAAGCAUGGGUGCCUCUAUAUCAUGCACUUAUUAUUAUGACUGGAACUCAUACCCACUGAAAGUGGGCUCCUUUAUUAUUGAGAAAAAGCAAUUUUACCAUUGAAAAUAACAAAAGAGGACUAUUUAUAAUUUAAUUUUUUGAUCUAAUAAUAAAAAAAUAAAAAUUAAAGGUUGUGCUUCCAUCCUACUUUCCCCACUUUAUCUUCUUUCUAACUAACUUUAGACAUUCAAAUAUUACCUAAAGAGAACUAUAAAAAAAAUAAAUGAAUAAAAGAGCCAUCACAUCAUGAAUGACACAAACAGCGACCUCAAAUACAAAGCCUUUGUUCCUAUCUUUUCCUCCUCACCCUAUUGUUAGUUGUUACUAGUUAUCAUCAUAAAUAGUAAUACUAUCUGUAACAUGAAUUUAGGGAUAUUGUGUAUUUUGAAAAUUUUAAAAUAAAUACAUUGAAUUUAGAGACAUUUAUGUAUUUUAAAAAUUAAAAAAAGAAAGAAAAUAAGUAAGAUAUUUUUAGUCCCUUUAACCACCAAUUAUAUUUAUCUUCUUGUGGUUUCACCAUAUCAUAAACAAUUGAAAAGACAAAAUAAAAAAGGAAAAAAAGAAAAAAAGAAAAAAAAGGUCUCUAUAGAGCUUUGAUUCAAAGGGUAAGAAAGAAGAGAGUUUUAGUACUUGUUUGGUUUUACAAUUUAAAGGUGUACAUUACUUGUUUCAAGAAUUUGAGUAACUUCUACGACGUAAAGGUUAAUAAUGUAGGAAGUGUUUAUACCUCUUUAUUUAUUUUCAUUUGAUAUUUAAAUUCCUUUAUUUGUUUUCAUUUAUUUAUUAAAAUAUCAAAAUGUUUAAAUUUCGUAAAAAGGAUCAAGUAAUAUUUUUCUAAAAUAUGCUCUGAUUUGUUCAUUUGUUUAUAAAAUAAAUUGGAAAUGCUAUGUAACUUAUUUGAUUGUUAUGCAAGUGAAUUUUACAUUUUCAAUUAAUUAAAGUGAUUUUGGAAAUUUAGGUUAUUAGUAGGCCUGAUCAAUAGACAUAAGUUGUUGACCUUCAUUAUUUUUGGUGGAGUAGUGAUAUAAUGUAAUCUAUCAAGUAAAGAUGUUAUUAGCCUUUGGUAUACCAUUCUGUUCCAUCCACCAGAUGAAUAAUUUGAGACUAACCACUUAAUGCAAGUCCCAUUAUUUAAGCAUAGUGUUAUUAUGAGUGACUUAAAGUAAAAUGUUUGUUUGUGAAAUUCUUUUAAAUAUGAAUUGAUUACACUAAAUAUAUUAUGUUGUUUUAUCUUUAAAAUUGAAAGUGUUGAAUUUUUGGAAGAAAUUGAAUUUAGUUAUCGAAUUAAAUGAGUUUACCUGUUAAUUAAUUUCCAUAAAAAAAAUUAUAUCUCCUAAGAUUUAAUUUUGUACCAUGCUCAAUCCUUUUUAUUGAAUCAUUUUUCCUUAUUAAGUUGUGGAACUCACUCUUCUCUAUUAUUCCCCUUUUCAGGUACAAGUGAAUGUGUGAUGAGAGAUCAAGAUAGGAAGUCUGCUUUUAUUAAAAACUGUUUUAAAUUUGAUUAUUUACUUAAGACUAAAUUUUAAUUAUGAUUUCUAGAAUAUGCAUCGAAGCGUUUGAGAUUUUUUUUUCAGUUUUGGAUUUGUUACUUAAAGGUCAUUUGUAUGUUGGACUUUUUGGAUUUGAAAUGUGAAAUGAAGGACACACCCCUGGCCUUUAAGGUUCGGGGUGUCACAAAUACUACCUUAAAUAUAGGAAAUGGUGGAAGCGAAUGAAGAGGAAGGGAUUGACUCUUGGGGAUUUGGAGUUUCAGGCCACCGGUGGUAGGGGUACUGAGCCCAAGUGCAUAUAAACGACGGGGGCUGCUUUGGCGUUGUAGGUGAGUGUUGUUAUUCAAUUAUGUCUUCCUGUUGAGUUGUAACUUCAAUUUGUCAUGAGUUGGAAUAUAUUGGAGCUAGUUUCUGAUCAAAUAUAGAGCGUUGCAUCCUAUACUUCUAACAGAGGGGACAAUGGCUUCUACAAGUGAUGCGGAUGCAUCUGAUCUGGAGAGCAUUAAGAGAAAGUUGAUCAAGAGCCUGCCCAGCAGUUGGGAAGAAGUUGUACAGAUAUACGAGCAAGAUCCAAGAGCUCACAAGAUCGAGAUCGGCCCAUCAGGGAACACAGCAUUGCACAUAGCAGUUUCAAGUGGGCGAGAAGACAUAGUAGAACGACUAGUGAAGUCGAUUGCUAAGAAUGGUAACCCCGUGGAUGUUCUAUCUAUAGGGAAUAGAGAUGGGAACAAUCCUCUUCAUUUGGGGGCCUCACUGGGAAGCAUUUCCAUGUGCAGAUGCAUCACUGGUGAGUGUAAAGAACUGUUGGGUCACCACAACCGAGAGAGUGAUACGCCCCUUUUAAGGGCAGCUCGCUAUGGCAAAAAAGAUGUUUUCCUCUGUUUGUAUGAUAUGUGCGAAGGCAACGCAGCCGCUGGCUACUGUAAGAACGACGAUGGUAAAAACGUUCUCCAUCUUGCCAUUGAAGGAGGACACAUGGGUAAGCAAUAUUAGAGUGAUGUUCUUCAGUUUACAUGUUCUAUUUCUUAAUUGUAAUAUAAAUCAUAGGCAUGAAAGUAGUCAGUUGUAAUGAACCUCUAUUAGGUGCGUACGCCUCUUUGGUUGGGUGCCUCCAAAGAAGACAAUAAAUUUGGUUGAUUCAUGGUUGUGGUGGACAGAUUUGGCGUUUCAAAUUAUUUGUAAGCAGGAAGAUCUCAUGGAUUCUGUUGACCGUCGUGGAAUCUCCCCUCUGCAUGUCCUAGCUGAGAAGCCUACUGCAUUCAGAAGUGGAAUUCAUCUCGGCUGGUUCAACAAAAUCAUUUAUCCCUGUAAGAUUCUCCAAACCAAACCAAAAUAUUUGCAAGUAUCAAACAGAGAUUGAUGCAUGGGGCUGAAUUGAAUCUAGUGCAUGCAUCAUUUGUUAUCUUGUAUCUUAUAUCUCCAUCAAGGCCAUAAAUUUCUGACAGUUCCCCUUGUUAAUCAAAUUGGAAGGUAUUUCUGUUGAAGAGCUCAUCCCUGCACGGAAGCUGAUUAAAUUACCAGGUGGGAGCAGGGAUCAGUAGCUUAAUCAUUUGGAAGAAAACAUUCUUGUAGCCACUGACCGCUUUCUUGAUGUUGCAACCAUAAUUUAUUGUUAUGGUAGUUAAUCAGUAUGAGACAGUAACAAAUUAAUAUGGUUCACUUGCAAAAGGAAUAGAAGCAUUUCAGCAUAGGAGAUCUCAAUCCCUCUUUUAAUAUAUUCUUGCUCAUGUGUGCUGUGACCAAGCUUAUACCUCAAGUAACUAGUGGAAAAAAAAUGCAGGAAAAUCUAAAAAGCACUUGGAUCCAGAGAAUCCUGAAGAAGGGCAAGGAAUUGAACAUCAUGGUGAGUGUGGGAUCUACUUGAUUUAAGCUAAAGCACUCUUAAAAGCAACUUCAAGUAAACAGUACUGAUUUCUUUACCUUUGUAUAGGUCAUAAUUCAACGAAUAUUGGAGCUCAAGGACACAAACCAUUCCACUCAAAAUAUGGCAGAUGCCUGAGGUUCAUCAAGCUUUUUGUAUCCCAAGUACUGCUGGUUAUCAUCUCAGUGAUGCCAGGUAUAACACCAUAUUAAUCACCAUCCCAAGUUUCUCUAGUAUUAAUUUCCAAAACAAUAGAGGUUCAAUGUACGUUCUUGUUUCAUUGUGGAUACAUGUUUAGGUUCAAGCCAGAUAAGGAAGCUAAAAGAGAAAAAAGAGAUGCACAUGUGGUCUCUUCAGAUCCUGAACAAACUACUUGAACGUGGUGCAAGGUGUACAUAUGAAAUGAAUCCCAAAUAUGAGGAGGAAUUUUUAUUGCUUGACUACGAAAGAGGUGACCUCUAUGUCAACCCUGUUUUCAUUACAAAUAAACUUCUUGGUGUAUAUAUAUAUAUAUAGAAAGAUGUGGAGACAAGGUAACCAACCACUUUCUCCAAUAUCUUUAACUGAUAUUCAGGAGAGGCAGAUCUGGUGCAGAGCAAUCACAACUCAAAUUCUUGAAAUUUUAACCACUGUUAUUAGAUGAUUGGUCCAUUGGGCUUUCUCUUGUAGUUGAAGAAUGAGUUUUCUUAUCUUUGUAGAUCGGAAUGCUAUCGUGGAAAUGGUAGAGAAAAUCCAGUUGACACCAAUACUACUUGCAUCAAGGAAUGGUAUCGUGGAAAUGGUAGAGAAAAUCCUGCAACUGUUUCCUAUGGCCAUUCAUGACACCAGCGACCGUGAUCAGAACAUAGUGCUGGUGGCAGUAGAGCAUAGGCAAUCACAUAUAUAUGACUUCUUACUCAACAGUAGUCGUCUUAUUGAUAAAGAAGGUGCAUUUCACGCUGUUGAUUGUGGGGGGAACAAUGCAUUGCAUCUAGCUGGAAAGCUUGCAGGUGACCGCUACCUCCAGCGUAUCCCCACCAGCAUGUUGCAAAUGCAGUGGGAAGUCAAGUGGUACCAGGUAUGCAAAACUCAAGCUAAGAUUUAAAUUAGCUUAUGAGAAAUGACUCAAACCGAUGAAUAAUAACUUAAAAAGUAUGCACUUGGUUCAAUGCAGUAUGUGCAGAAUUCCUUGCCACCACAUUUUGUUGUUCAAAAAAAUAGGGGCAGACGUACCCCAGAUGAGAUCUUCCAAAUACAACAUCAAAAACUUGAAGACGAAAGCAAACAAUGGCUAAAUAGCGCCUCCAAUUCCUGUUCUUUCAUUGCAGCACUUAUUGCAACUGUUGCCUUUGCCUCAUCAGCCUCUGUACCUGGAGGGGUAAAGCAAGACACUGGGGAACCAGUUUUUGAAAACCAUCUGGCUUUCAGUAUUUUUGCAAUGGCAUCGCUAGUUGCUCUUUGCUGUUCAGUGAUCUCCUUGCUCAUAUUCCUCGCCAUUUUCAUCUCCAAGCACCAAGACAAAGAUUUUACUACGAACUUGACAAGGAAUUUUUUAGUUGGUUUAACAUCUCUCUUUAUAUCCAUGGCAGCCAUGUUGACCUGUUUCUGCUCGGGAAACUUCCUGAUGCUUAAGGGCCAACUAAAAUAUGCUGCAAUUCUGGUAUAUGCACUCACCGGCCUGCUAAUGGUGUACUUUGUUCUGAAGCACUUUCCAUUAUUUAUUGAUCUUCUGAAGGCUACAUUUCGUAAGGUGCCUGAGCGUAUAUACAAGGAGUAUCUGUUGAUUGCUUUGGUCUGGGCUCAAGGAGGACCUUAUGCCAUGGUGAUGAUGGCCAGAUCUGAUGAUGAUGUAAUUUUUCAGUUGUUUUGUGUCUUUCAAAUAUAUAUAUAUGACUGUAAUCUUCCUCCUGGAGUAUAGAUUCUUAUCAAAUUGAUUGAUAACACAAACAAUGGUGACCUCAUUAUGCCUCCCAUUCGCCCCUGCAUUCCCCUAAACUCCUCCAAAGCUCUAUUCAUCUCUCCAUGUCUCAUGUACCCAUCAAUUAUUGCUGUCCAAAAAACCAUAUCUGACCCGACUAAAAACAGCACCAGCUUCCUCAACCAGUCUCUGAUCACUAUAAGAGCAGAUCAUCACGGUGAACGCGAUAACGUCUUCAGGCACUUCAUCAAACAUCCGACGUGCAUCCCCUGAUUCCCCUCAUUUUCCGUGUAACUCCAUCAUCCUCAACUUCACAAAACUUUUGAGCUGGACCCCAGCUUCAUAGCCCUUCUGUGGAUCUCUUUCCCCUCCCUUAAAGCCGAUUGGGAUCCACGUGCUUUCAAAAUGGAGGCCAUUAAGUAAUUAUCAGGCAGAAUUGACUCAUGGAGCAUUCUGGAAUACAGCCGAAUGCCACAAAGAUGGCUUGCUUCCUGAUGAAGCAAAGCCAUCAAUGACAGAAGUAUAUGGAUUGACAGUUGGGUUGUGACUGUACUGAAAAAUCAAAAUCCCAGAGGCCCAGAGAAUCCAGUGAAUGGCGUGGCAUUUGGAUCUGGUAGAGAAAAUAUCAAAUUAAUAUUAUUAAAGUUCUAAAUUUUCAGACAAUAAUAAUAAAUAAUGGUUACAUUAAAGAGAAAAAAAAUAAGGAUUAAAAAAAGCUUGACCGAGUCACAAGAAACUACUUAAUUUAUUUAAUACAUAAUAAUAAAAGAAAAGUGGAGAACAUGAUUCUUUCCUACUAAAAUAAAUAAUAAAUAAUAAAAAAUGAGAUGAGAUCAUAUAUAUAAUUAAAAUAAUAUAUGAUAAUUAUAAAUAUUAAUUUAAAUAUAAUUGUAAUAAGAGGGAAGCAGCUCAAAGACUAUGAAGGGUCCUGGGAAUGACCAUUUAUGAGGAGUUGAGUAUGGAUUAGGAGGACUUGGUUGAUGUGUUUGGAUUUGUGCAAUAGAGAGAUUAUUUGUUUUGGAUGUAUUAGGAUGAAUGUACCAUAUAUCAAUAAGCAUAUAUAUAUAUCAUACUUUGAAGUAUUUAUCUAUAAUAUAAAACAAUGUAUUUAUUUAUUUAUUUAUUUUUUAGGUUAUUACUAUCUUAUAAAUGCAAACUAUGCAAACUAUUUAUAGGAUAUCAUUUAAAUAAAUAUAAUCCCAAAUUAAUGCUAAAAUAUUACAUUGAUGAAGAGUGGAAGUGGCUCAAAGUAUACUUUUUUUUUUUUGUUUUAUUUAUUUAUUUAGGUUUUAAUUUGUAUAUAAAAAAAUAACAAUUAUUCAAUUUUUUUUUUUUACAACAUUGUUUAGGAGCGUUAGAUGAGACAUUCAUUAUGAAGAAUGUACUAGAUACUAAACGCAUAUAUAUUGUAUUAUGAAGUAUUUAUUUGUAUUAUUACAUAAUAUAAUUAAAUUUCUUUGUUAGGUUAUUACUACCUUGUAGAUAUGGACUAUGCAAAUAAUGAGAAAUUCCUUACUCCAUUUAUAGGAUAUCAUUUAAAUAAAUAGAGGGGCAAAAUGAUAGAAGUGUAUAUUUCAUUCCAUUUCCUCCAUGAUUAGGAAACACUUGAAAGGUAACCAACUUCAUUCUGAUUUUGUUUCCUAUAUGUUAUAAGUAAACACUUCAAUAGAAUCCAUGAUUUUGAUUGUCUUCUCUUUUCUUUCCUUAUCUGGUUCUCUUUCCUAUGAUUUUAUUUAUAUAGAACUAGUAAACACGCUCUAAGGAUCAAAUUAGAACAAAGAUUAAAGAUAGUUCUGAUACUUUUUUUUUCUUUAAACAUCAAAUAGGAACAAAGGACGUCAAAGUUUUGAAGCAUGUACAAUCAAUUCUACAUCAAUAAUAAUCACUAAUGUUUUUAUCUAAUUUUGAAUGUCAUAAUACAAAGUAACCUUCAUUUUUAUCAGCUUGGUAGUUUCAGCGUUCAGAGCCAUCAUCACUUCCCAAAUUGACGUUCAGAUGUGGCAUUCUCAGUUUUGGCGUUCAGAGCCAUCAUCGGUUUCCAGUUUGACGUUCAGAGUCAUAUAUUCAGUUUGACAUUCAGAGCCGUCAUGAUUUAUCCACAGUUCAGGUUUUUAGAGCCAUCAUUCACAGUUCAGGCGUUCAGAGCCAUCGUCCACAUUAAGGCGUACAGAGUCAUCAUUUCUCCAUAGUUUGGCAUUUAGAACCCGUCGCUCACAGUUUGGCAUUCAGAGCUGCCAUGAUUUAUUCACAGUUUAGGCGUUCAGAGCCGUCAUGAUUUAUCCAAGAUUCAGGCAUUUGGAGCCAUCGUCCACGUUCAAACGUACGAAGUCAUCAUUUCUCCAUAGUUUGGUAUUUAGAGCCCGUCGCUCACAGUUUGGCAUUCAGAGCUGUCAUUCACAGUUUGGCAUUCAGAGCCGCCAUGAUUUAUCCACAGUUCAGGCGUUCAGAGCUAUUGUCCACAUUCAAGUGUUUAGAGCCAUCGUUCACAUUCAGGCGUUCAAAGUCAUCAUCUCUCCAUAGUUUGGUAUUUAGAGUCCAUCGCUCACAAUUUGGCGUUCAGAGCCAUUGUUCACAGUUUGGCAUAUAGAGUCGUCAUGAUUUAUCCACAGUUUAGGCGUUCAGAUCCAUAGUCCACAUUCAGGCGUUCAGAGCCAUCAUUUCUCCAUAGUUUGGUGUUUAGAGCCAUUGUUCACGGUUUGGCAUUCAGAGUCGUCAUGAUCUCUCUACAGUUUGGCGUUCAGAGCCAUCGUUCACAUUUAGGCUUUUAGAGCCAUCAUCUCUCCGCAAUUUGGUAUUUAGAGUCAUUGUUCACAGUUUGGCAUUCAGAUCCAUUGUUCACAGUCAGACAUACACCAUUUCCUAACAGUUUGGCUUUCAGAGCCAUCGUAUCCUUAGUUUGGCAUUCAAAGCCACCAUUUCUCCAUAAUUUAGCGUUCAAAGUCAUCGUUCAUGGUCAGACAUUCAGAGCCAUUGGUUAGCUUGGCAUUGAGAGCCAUCAUAUAUUUAGUUCGACAUUUAGAGCAGUCAGCUUGGCAUUUAGAGCCAUUAGUCAGCUUAGCAUUCAGAGCCUUGAGCUCACGACCUCGAGUCAUUCUUCUUAUUUACGGCCCAAAGUCAUUCUUAGCAUUCGGAGCCUUGAGCUCAUGACCCAGAGUCGUUUUCACUCAUUCUUAGCAUUCACAGCCUUAAGCUCAUGACCCAGAAUCGUUUUCACCCUUUAGGUGUUCAGAGCCACUACUUUCUUUCAUGGGUGUUUAGAAUUGUAGGCCUUUAGAUCUCCCUUUGGCAUUUAGAGCCACAAUUUUCUUUCAUAAGCGUUCAAAGCCAUCUUUUCCAAUUUUAGGCAUUCAGAGUCAUUCAUUUUAUCAGUUUUAGGCAUUCAGAGUAGUGUCUUCAUUUUGGCAUUCAGAACCAUUGUCCAGCUUGGCAUUCGAUGCCAUCUUCUUCCUUUAACUUUGGCGUUCAGAGCUAUCGUGCAUACUCAUUCAGGCACCUAGAGUCACCAUCUUUCCUCCUCUUGGCGUUUAGAGUCAUUUUUCCCCAGCCUUAUCAUUCAAGAGAGCCCAUGUCAUACUAGGACAAAUUUGGCGGUCUUUCUUAUUCUUCGACAAAGUUCACUUCGUUUCGUUCGUGUAUACACUCACUUUACUUGUGAACUUUACCGAAGAGGGGCAUAUUUGUAGACCCCAAAAUUUGUUUCAAUUUUAUCUUUACAUUAAUUUUAUCUUUUUCUUUCUUUCUUUCCUUCUCCAUCUUCUUUCUCCCUCCAUCCCCAUUUUUUUCCUCCCAUUUUAUUUUAUUUUAUUUUGCUUCCUAAAAACCCGUCCACCCUCAUUGUCGUCGGUAGGGCCGCCGACGAUCCACUGUCGACCGACAACCCCCUUCCCAUCUCAUCCGUUUCUUUAUCCAAUUUUAGGUUUGGUUGAUUGUGUUUGUAUUUUUGGUUAUUAAUUUGGAUGUUCUGGGUUAAACCAAUAGUAAUUUGGACUCAUUUUAAUUGACGAAAUUUAUGAGACUAAUUUGAAGUUUGAAUUUGGGUUUGAAUAUCCAUUGUGAAUGUUAUACAUUUCUAGAUAUUUACAUCUAUGUUAUUCUUAUUUUUGCAUGGACCCACUCUCCAAUCUUGUUGGCUGAGUACGAAUUGAUGACACGUGGAGCUUGUUGUAAGUUUAUUUGGGUGCAUAUUUUAUUUUCCACUUUUAUUUGGUUUUAUUUUUAUUAGUUUGUGUAAAUAUUCGUUUGUAUGUAAUUAUUGUGUGUGUACAAAAUUAAACAUCGAACAAACUAGAAAUUUUGUUUAAAUGAGAAGAAAAAGUCAGUAAAUGUGUUCUAAUAAAACAACAAUUUUGAAAUAUUAUUUUUAAUAAAAGAAAGUUUUUAUUUAUUUAUAAACAUUCAGAAAAAUGCAUUUAGAAAAAUCCAAAAGAAAUGUUUUUAAUGGAAUUUGAAAAUUUGUUUUUAAAUAAUAUUUGUCCAAAAAUUUCUUUGUUUAACAAAAAUUGUCUAAGUAUUGUUUUGUAAAUAAAGGUGUCCCAAAAAUUAAUUUUUAAUAAAAUUGUCCAAAAAAAUGUUUUUUUAAAUAAAUUCUUUUUACUUAAUUAAAAUUGGAUUAAAAGUCUUUUUUAGAAAUAGAUGAUUUAUUUAUUUAUUUUAUUUUUAUUUUUUUUCCUUUUAAUUAAAAAUUCUUUUGCAAAUGAAGUUAUGUCUUUUUAAAUAAUUUAUAUAAAUCAUUUUUCUUAAAUAAAAUCAAAUUGAAAUAUUUUCGUAAAUAAAAUUGUAAAAAUUCAUUUUUUUUAAACAAGUAAAAAUAAUUUUUGUAUCCAAAUUGAAAUUUUGUAAUAAGUUCUUUUGACACAAUAAGUGUAAAUAACAUUUUUUUUCGAAAAUUAAAUACAAAUGAAAUUGAAUCAAAUCACUUAAAGAAAAUAUCUUGUAAAUAAAUAAAUUGAAAUCACUCUUUCAAAAUCAUUUUUAAUAAAAUCCUUUGAAAUUUCUUGAAAACUAUUUUUUUUGUUUUACUAUUUAUUUAUUUAGUUCAAUAAAUCAUUUUGCAUAAUUCUUUUGUCAUUUAUUUUGUAUAUUCUUAUAAUUAGAUUUCGUCAUUAUUUUUGUGUAUAUUAAUUUUCACCGUGACUUCUACAUUGAUUGUUUUUCUUGAUAUCUAUAAUUAAUUAAUUAAUUGCCACAAUUCCCUUAAUUCAUUUAGUAGAGACCGUACGUAUGCAAGCUUAAAGGGGUGCUACGGCUCAUCACCGUACCUUCCUAAUAAGUAACCUGACUCCCGGACCCAGACUUGGUUUUUCACGGACCCCCCUUAGUGGGUAUGGGUUCCACAAUCAGAAUAACAAUCAUAAGCAUGAUAGGCACCCAUGUUUUAUAAAAACCAAUCAAAUCAAAAUCUUAGUCUCUCUUUAGUAACCAAUUUUGAAAAUAAUUGUUUCUUAUCAAAUAAUAUACUAGAUGUCAUGUCUUUAAGGGUUCUAUUAAAAUAUAUUUAUCUCAAAAAAUACAUUUUUUUUCAAAUUUUUAUUACUAAUUCAUUUAUAAAAUAUGUUUUUAAUAAAAACAUUGUCUGUUUUAAUUAUGUUAUUAAGUAAAUAACUAAAAAAGGAGCUAAGAUUAUUGACACAUAAAUAAAAAUUUAUAUCAUCAAAACUUCAUGAUAAUUUUUUUUUCUUUUAAUUUUGCCAUUAAAAUGAGUGAUUCUAUAAGAUAUGCUAACACAAAAAUGUAAAAAAUAUAUUAUUAUAGCUCAUUGAAUGGUAACUUUAAGAAGCCAUCAAAUAAUUGGACGUAUGAGACUUGAUUCCAGAAGACUAAAAGGACUAUAACAAGCUUAGUAAUAAAGAAUCUGGGUAGGUCAUAUCUCCUUGUCGAUAAAAUUCAAUAUUAUUUUGUACAUUUUCUAUGAAAUAUCUAUAAUUUUGUUAAUAGAUGAGGCAAGAAUGACAGAAAGAAAUGGCACCUAUGAAAGGAUGUCUAAUGAAACGCUUAUUUCAACCAUUUGAAUACAUUGAUCAUUUUACUUGAAAUUUUUGAAUAAGAGUACAAGUGGCAAAUACUUUUUUAUGUCUGCUACACUUCACCACUAUGGUUGACAACUCUCUUUUGAUGCCAAUUAUCCAUUUUUCGUUACUUAGUCACACAUGUUCGAUGACUACUAAUGUUAAUUGAUAGGUAGAACCUUUAUAAUUUUAGGUACAUUUUUAAGAUAACAAAGUGUAUUCUAAAGAAAUUCUGGUAUAUAAUAUUGGAAAAGAGUACAUUGUUCGAGGUUGAUUUUUUUCCACAUAGGAGUUAUGGACCCCGCAUUUUCGGCUCAUGCGUUCCCACUCGAUGAUGAAACUCGCUUUUUAUUUGAAAAAUGAUUUUAUUGAUUAGGAAAAAUGACUUGGAGUCGCCACUUAUUUUUGUUUUAUUUUUAAAGGGUAAACAAAAUAAGAAAGAAAAACCCUAAGUGUGACUCCUUAUUUUGGAAAAGGCGGUCUGUGAAAAACCAGAUCGGGUUCGGGAGUCAGGUUACUUAUCGGGAAGGUAUGGUAAAGACCGUAAUACCCCUCUAAGUCCCUAAAGUCGGGUCUCUACUAAUAAAAUGAAGCAAUGGUGACAAUUAACUAAUUAAUCAUGGAUACCAAAAUUAAUAAUCAAACAAAUGAGCAUGUACAAGUCAUAGUGAAAAGCAAUAUACACAAAUAAUGAUGAAAUCUAAUUACGAAAAUACACAAAAUAAAUAAUAAGAGAAUUAUGCAGAAUGAUUUAUUGAAUUAAAUAAAUAAAAGAUAUUAAAAAAAAAGUUUUAAAGAAAUUUCAAAGGAUUUUAUUAAAAAUGAUUUUGAAUUAAUGAUUUCAAUUUAUUUACUUACAAAAAAAGAAAUAAUUUAUUUUCUCAACUUCAUUUGUAUUCAAUUUUCAAAAAAGUUAUUUACACUUAGUGUCAAAAGAAUUUAUUACAAAAUUUCAAUUUGGGUACAAAAAUUAUUUUUACUUACUUUUACUAUAAAAUAAUGAAUUUUUACAAUUUUAUUUACAAAAGUAUUUAGAUUCAUUUUCAUUUAAAAGAGUGAUUUUUACAAAUUAUUUAAAAUGCAUAACUUUAUUUGCAAAAGAAAUUUUAAUUAAAAAGAAAAACAAAUAUUUAAAUCCUCUAUUUCUUAAAAACACUUUUAAUCCUAUUUUAAUAAAGGAAAAAGAAUUCAUUUGAAAAAAUAUUUUUAGACAAUUUUAUUAAAAAUUAAUUUUUGGGAUAACUUUAUUUACAAAACAAUUUUUGGACAAUUUUUAUUAAAUAAAGAAAUUUUUGGACAAUGUCAUUAAAAACAAUUUUUCUAAUACUAUUAAAAACAAUUUUUUGGAUUUUUCUAAAUGCAUUUUUUUGAAUUUUUAUAAAUAAUAAAAAAAACUUUCUUUUAUUAAAAUAAUAUUUUAAAAUUAUUGUUUCAUCAAAACACAUUUACUAAAUUCUUCCUCUCAUUUAAAUAAUUCUAGUUUGUUCGAUGUUCAAUUCUAUACACACAAAUAAAUAUACAUAGAUAAAUAUUUACAGAAAUCAAUAAAAAUAAAACUAAAUAUAAAUGAGAAAUCAAAUAUGUACCACAGUAGGCUUACAACAAGUUCAAUGCUCCAUUUACAACUUUUCGAGUCUCACUUUGUUCCAUGAAAUUUCGUGCUCCACGUGUCAUAAAUUUAUGCUAAACCAAUAGGUUUAUAGAACGAGCCCAUGUAAAAACAAAAAAUAGUAUAAGGGGAUAACCAAGUUUUAUAUUAAUUUAACAAUUCAAAUACCACAAACAACAAUUAUUAUUAUAAUCAAAUUGAGUAAAAUGAAUAAUAAUAAUAAUAAUGAUAAUAAUAGUAAUAUAAUAAUAAUAAUAAUAAUAAUAAUAAUGGGAAACGGAUGAGAUGGAAGGAGGUCGCCAACCGGCGGUGGCUCGCCGGUGGCGACUGGUCGGUGUCCCGGCGGCGGUGAGGGGUGAGUUUUUGAAAAUAAUAAUAAUAAUAAUAAAGAAAAUAAGGAAAAAAAAUGGAGAAUGAAAGGAAAAAGAUAGGAAGGAAAUGAAGGGGUGUUCGGCCGGUGAGGUGUAGUGGAGGAAGGGCUGUUAAGAGAAAGAAAAAUGGAGGGGAAGGAAGGGAAAAACCAGAGGAGAAAAUGGAGGGGGGGUCGGCAGCUGUUGGGGAAUAAAUGGGAAAAGAUGAGAGAAAAUAAAGGGGAGUUGGGGAGCUCCGCCCGUUAGUGGAGUGUGGAGCAAAAAAACCAAAGAAGAAACAAUCCGGCCAUAAAUGGGGGAGCCGGCCAUCAAUUGGUCUCUUGGGAGUAGCAGAAAAAGAGCCAAGGAAGAGGGGAAUGGGGCCCGGCCAUUUUUGCCUUGGGAAUGGGGAGAUGUUAAAAAAAAAUUCAAAAAGAAAGAGCCCAUGAAUGGGGGGCCGGUCAAAAAGAAAAGGAAAGAGGAAAAAAAAUAAUAAAAAAAUGAAAUAGAGGGAAUAGGGGUAUGGCUUGGACGUGGGUGAUGGGGGUAGGUAAGGGUAGGUAGGGGAGUGAGAGGAGAGAGGAGAGAGAAAUGAAGGAAAUAAAAGAAAAAAUAAAAAAUAAAAAUAAAAUAAUAAUAAAAUAAUAAUAAUAGUAAUAAUAAAUAAUAUAAAGGAAAAAGUAAAAUAUAAUAAUAAUAAUAAAAAAAUAAAAUAAUAUAUAAAAUAAUAAAAAUUAAAAAAUAAAUGAUGAAUGGGUCAAAAAAACACAUAUAAUCGAGAUUUAAAAUCUAUGAAAAAAAUUAAACUCAAAAUCAAUGUAAAAUAAAAAUAAGACAAAUUUUAGAGUAUAGAGUGCAUAUGCAUAUUUUGAAAUUGUUAUAGAUUUAGAAUUAUUUUGAAAAAUAUUGUAUUUUAGAAAUAACCUCUUAAAAUAUGUAUAUUUUUAUAAAAAAAAUAUGGCCAUCCAUGCCUAUUAGCCAUUAAUUAUUUAUUCAAUAAUAUAAUCAAAAGUGCAAAAUGUUUUAUUAUAUACAAUAAUUUAGUAAUAAAAUUUGUAAAAAAAAAUGUAUUUUUUGAUAGAAGUACAUGUUGAGAUAGAACACAUCUAGUAUAGUUUUUUUUUUUUUAUAUCUAAUAAUAAUUUUUUUUUUGUUUUGUACAAGGUUACUUUAAAAAAUAAUUAAUAAAGCAUGGGUGCCUCUAUAUCAUGCUUGCACUUAUUAUUAUGACUGGAACUCAUACCCACUGAAAGUGGGCUCCUUUAUUAUUGAGAAAAAGCAAUUGUACCAUUGAAAAUAACAAAAGAGGACUAUUUAUAAUUUAAUUUUUUAAUCUAAUAAUAAAAAAAUAAAAAUUAAAGGUUGUGCUUCCAUCCUACUUUCCCCACUUUAUCUUCUUUCUAACUAACUUUAGACAUUCAAAUAUUACCUAAAGAGAACUAUAAAAAAAAUAAAUGAAUAAAAGAGCCAUCACAUCAUGAAUGACACAAACAGCGACCUCAAAUACAAAGCCUUUGUUCCUAUCUUUUCCUCCUCACCCUAUUGUUAGUUGUUACUAGUUAUCAUCAUAAAUAGUAAUACUAUCUGUAACAUGAAUUUAGGGAUAUUGUGUAUUUUGAAAAUUUUAAAAUAAAUACAUUGAAUUUAGAGAUAUUUAUGUAUUUUAAAAAUUUUAAAAAGAAAGAAAAUAAGUAAGAUAUUUUUAGUCCCUUUAACCACCAAUUAUAUUUAUCUUCUUGUGGUUUCACCGUAUCAUAAACAAUUGAAAAGACAAAAUAAAAAGGAAAAAGGAAAAAAAGAAAAAAUAAGGUCUUUAUAGAGCUUUGUUUCGAAAGGUAAGAAAGAAGAGAGUUUUAGUACUUGUUUGGUUUUACAAUUUAAAGGUGUACAUUACUUGUUUCAAGAAUUUGAGUAACUUCUACGAUGUAAAGGUUAAUAAUGUAGGAAGUUUUUAUACCUCUUUAUUUAUUUUCAUUUGAUAUUUAAAUUCCUUUAUUUAUUAAAAUAUCAAAAUGUUUAAAUUCCGUAAAAAGGAUCAAGUAAUAUUUUUCUAAAAUAUGUUUUGAUUUGUUCAUUUGUUUAUAAAAUAAAUUAGAAAUACUAUAUAACUUAUUUGAUUGUUAUGCAAGUGAAUUUUACAUUUUCAAUUAAUUAAAGUGAUUUUGGAAAUUUAGGUUAUUAGUAGGUCUGAUCAAUAGACAUAAGUUGUUGACCUUCAUUAUUUUUGGUGGAGUAGUGAUAUAAUGUAAUCUAUCUAGUAAAGAUGUUAUUAGCCUUUGGUAUACCAUUAUGUUCCAUCCUCCAUAUGAAUAAUUUGAGACUAACCACUUAAUGCAAGUUCCAUUAUUUAAGCAUAGUGUUAUUAUGAGUGACUUAAAGUAAAAUGUUUGUUUGUGAAAUUCUUUUAUAUAUGAAUUGAUUACAGUAAGUAUAUUACGUUGUUUUAUCUUUAAAAUUGAAAGUGUUGAAUUUUUGGAAGAAAUUGAAUUUAGUUAUCGAAUUAAAUGAGUUUACCUGUUAAUUAAUUUCCAUAAAAAAAAAAAAUUAUAUCUCCUAAGAUUUAAUUUUGUACCAUGCUCAAUCCUUUUUAUUGAAUCAUUUUUCCUUAUUAAGUUGUGGAACUCACUCUUCUCUAUUAUUCCCCUUUUCAGGUACAAGUGAAUGUGUGAUGAGAGAUCAAGAUAGGAAGUCUGCUUUUAUUAAAAACUGUUUUAAAUUUGAUUAUUUACUUAAGACUAAAUUUCAGUUAUGAUUUGUAGAAUAUGCAUCGAAAGCGUUUGAGAUUUUUUUUUUAGUUUUGGAUUUGUUACUCAAAGGUCAUUUGUAUGUUGGACUUUUUGGAUUUGAAAUGUGAAAUGAAGGACAUACCCCUGGCCUUUAAGGUUCGGGGUGUCACAAAUACUACCUUAAAUAUAGGAAAUGGUGGAAGCGAAUGAAGAGGAAGGGAUUGACUCUUGAGGAUUUGGAGUUUCUGGCCACCGGUGGUGGGGGUACUGAGCCCAAGUGCAGAUAAACGACGGGGGCUGCUUUGGCGUUGUAGGUGAGUGUUGUUAUUCAAUUAUGUCUUCCUGUUGACUUGUAACUUCAAUUUGUCAUGAGUUGGAAUAUAUUGGAGCUAGUUUCUGAUCAAAUAUAGAGCUAGUUUCUGAUCAAAUAUAGAGCGUUGCAUCCUAUACUUCUAAUGGAGGGGACAAUGGCUUCUACAAGUGAUGCGGAUGCAUCUGAUCUGGAGAGCAUUAAGAGAAAGUUGAUCAAGAGCCUGGCCAGCAGUUGGGAAGAAGUUGUGCAGAUAUACGAGCAAGAUCCAAAAGCUCACAAGAUUAAGAUCGGCCCAUCAGAGAACACAGCAUUGCAUAUAGCAGUUUCAAGUGGGCGAGAAGACAUAGUAGAACGACUAGUGAAGUCGAUUGAGAAGAAUGGUAACCCCGUGGAUGUUCUAUCUAUAAGGAAUAGAGAUGGGAACAAUCCUCUUCAUUUGGGGGCCUCACUGGGAAGCAUUUCCAUGUGCAGAUGCAUCACUGAUGAGUGUAAAGAACUGUUGGGUCGCCGCAACGGAGAGAGUGAUACGCCCCUUUUAAGGGCAGCUCGCUAUGGCCCAAAAGAUGUUUUCCUCUGGUUGUAUGAUAUGUGUGAAGGCAACGCACCCCAUGACUACUGCCAGAACCGAGAUCGUAAUAACGUUCUCCAUCUUGCCAUUGACGGAGGAUACAUGGGUAAGCAAUAUUAGAGUGCUGUUCUUCAGUUUACAUGUUCUUUUGCUUAAUUGUAAUAUAAAUCUAUUAGGUGCGUACGCCUCUUUGGUUGGGUGCCUCCAAUGAAGACAAUAAAUUUGGUUAAUUCAUGGUUGUGGUGGACAGAUUUGGCGUUUCAAAUUAUUUGUAAGCAGGAAGAUCUAAUGGAUGCUGUUAACAGUGAUGGAUUCUCCCCUCUGCAUGUCCUUGCUGAGAAGCCUACUGCAUUCAGAAGCGGAAUUCAUCUCGGCUGGUUCAACAAAAUCAUUUAUCACUGUAAGAUUCUCCAAACCAAACCAAAAUAUUUGCAAGUAUCAAACAGAGAUUGAUGCAUGGGGCUGAAUUGAAUCUAGGGCAUGCAUCAUUUGUUAUCUUGUAUCUUAGAUCUCCAUCAAGGCCAUAAAUUUCUGACAGUUCCCCUUGUUAAUCAAAUUGGAAGGUAUUUCUGUUGAAGAGCUCAUCCCUGCAGGGACUUCCAAAGCAAAGAAGAGCUUCUUUCAAGAGCUACGGAAGCUGAUUAAAUUACCAGGUGGGAGCAGGGAUCGGUAGCUUAAUCAUUUGGAAGAAAACAUUCUUGUAGCCACUGACCGCUUUCUUGAUGUUGCAACCAUAAUUUAUUGUUAUGGUAGUUAAUCAGUAUGAGACAGUAACAAAUUAAUAUGGUUCACUUGCAAAAGGAAUAGAAGCAUUUCAGCAUAGGAGAUCUCAAUCCCUCUUUUAAUAUAUUCUUGCUCAUGUGUGCUGUGACCAAGCUUAUACCUCAAGUAACUAGUGGAAAAAAAAUGCAGGAAAAUCUAAAAAGCACUUGGAUCCAGAGAAUCCUGAAGAAGGGCAAGGAAUUGAACAUCAUGGUGAGUGUGGGAUCUACUUGAUUUAAGCUAAAGCACUCUUAAAAGCAACUUCAAGUAAACAGUACUGAUUUCUUUACCUUUGUAUAGGUCAUAAUUCAACGAAAAUUGGAGCUCAAGAACACAAACCAUUCCACUCAAAAUAUGGCAGAUGCCUGAGGUUCAUCAAGCUUUUUGUAUCCCAAGUACUGCUGGUUAUCAUCUCAGUGAUGCCAGGUAUAACACCAUAUUAAUCACCAUCCCAAGUUUCUCUAGUAUUAAUUUCCAAAACAAUAGAGGUUCAAUGUACGUUCUUGUUUCAUUGUGGAUACAUGUUUAGGUUCAAGCCAGAUAAGGAAGCUAAAAGAGAAAAAAGAGAUGCACAUGUGGUCUCUUCAGAUCCUGAACAAACUACUUGAACGUGGUGCAAGGUGUACAUAUGAAAUGAAUCCCAAAUAUGAGGAGGAAUUUUUAUUGCUUGACUACGAAAGAGGUGACCUCUAUGUCAACCCUGUUUUCAUUACAAAUAAACUUCUUGGUGUAUAUAUAUAUAUAUAGAAAGAUGUGGAGACAAGGUAACCAACCACUUUCUCCAAUAUCUUUAACUGAUAUUAAGGAGAGGCAGAUCUGGUGCAGAGCAAUCACAACUCAAAUUCUUGAAAUUUUAACCACUGUUAUUAGAUGAUUGGUCCAUUGGGCUUUCUCUUGUAGUUGAAGAAUGAGUUUUCUUAUCUUUGUAGAUCGGGGGAUGACACCAAUACUACUUGCAUCAAGGAAUGGUAUCGUGGAAAUGGUAGAGAAAAUCCUGCAACUGUUUCCUAUGGCCAUUCAUGACACCAACAGCUUUAAUCAGAACAUAGUGCUGAUGGCAGUAGAGAAUAGGCAAUCACAUAUAUAUGACUUCUUACUCAACAGUAGUCAUCUUAUUGAUAAAGAAGGUGCAUUUCACGCUGUUGAUUGUGAGGGGAACAAUGCAUUGCAUCUAGCUGGAAAGCUUGCAGGUGACCGCUACCUCCAGCGUAUCCCCACCAGCAUGUUGCAAAUGCAGUGGGAAGUCAAGUGGUACCAGGUAUGCAAAACUCAAGCUAAGAUUUAAAUUAGCUUAUGAGAAAUGACUCAAACCGAUGAAUAAUAACUUAAAAAGUAUGCACUUGGUUCAAUGCAGUAUGUGCAGAAUUCCUUGCCACCACAUUUUGUUGUUCAAAAAAAUAGGGACAGACGUACCCCAGAUGAGAUCUUCCAAAUAGAACAUCAAAGACUUGAAGACGAAAGCAAACAAUGGCUAAAUAGCACCUCCAAUUCCUGCUCUUUCAUUGCAGCACUUAUCGCAACUGUUGCCUUUGCCUCAUCAGCCUCUGUACCUGGAGGGGUAAAGCAAGACACUGGGGAACCAGUUUUUGAAAACCAUCUGGCUUUCAGUAUUUUUGCAAUGGCAUCGCUAGUUGCUCUUUGCUGUUCAGUGAUCUCCUUGCUAAUAUUCCUCGCCAUUUUCAUCUCCAAGGACCAAGACAAAGAUUUUACUACGAACUUGCCAAGGAAUUUUUUAUUUGGUUUAACAUCUCUCUUUAUAUCCAUGGCAGCCAUGUUGACCUGUUUCUGCUCGGGAAACUUCUUGAUGCUUAAGGGUCAACUAAAAUAUGCUGCAAUUCUGGUAUAUGCACUCACCGGCCUGCUAAUGGCGUACUUUGUUCUGAAGCACUUUCCAUUAUUUAUUGAUCUUCUGAAGGCUACAUUUCGUAAGGUGCCUGAGCGUAUAUACAAGGAGUAUCUGUAGAUUGCUUUGGUCUGGGCUCAAGGAGAACCUUAUGCCAUGGUGAUGAUAGCCAGAUCUGAUGAUGAUAUAAUUUUUCAGUUGUUGUGUCUUUCAAAUAUAUAUAUAUAUAUAUAUAUAUAUAUAUAUAUAUAUAUAUAUAUAUGACUGUAAUCUUCCUCCUGGAGUACAGAUUCUUAUCAAAUUGAUUGAUAACACAAACAAUGGUGACCUCAUUAUGCCUCCCAUUCGCCCCUGCAUUCCCCUAAACUCCUCCAAAGCUCUAUUCAUCUCUCCAUGUCUCAUAUACCCAUCAAUUAUUGCUGUCCAAAAAUACAUAUCUGACCCGACUAAAAACAGCACCAGCUUCCUCAACCAGUCCCUGAUCACUAUAAGAGCAGAUCAUCACGGUGAACGAGAUAACGUCUUCAGGCAUUUCAUCAAACAUCCGACGUGCAUCCCCUGAUUCCCCUCAUUUUCCGUGUAACUCCAUCAUCCUCAACUUCACAAAACGUUUGAGCUGGAGCCCAGCUUCAUAGCCCUUCUGUGGAUCUCUUUCCCCUCCCUUAAAGCCGAUUGGGAUCCAUGUGCUUUCAAAAUGGAGGCCAUUAAGUAAUUAUCAGGCAGAAUUGACUCAUGGAGCAUUCUGGAAUACAGCCGAAUGCCACAAAGAUGGCUUCCUGAUGAAGCAAAGCCAUCAAUGACAGAAGUAUAUGGAUAGACAGUUGGGUUGUGACUGUACUGAAAAAUCAAAAUCCUAGAGGCCCAGAAUCCAGUGGAUGGCGUGGCAUUUGGAUCUGGUAGAGAAAAUAUCAAAUUAAUAUUAUUAAAGUUCUAAAUUUUCAGACAAUAAUAAUAAAUAAAGGUUAUAUUAAAGAGAAAAAAAUAAGGAUUAAAAAAAGCUUGACCGAGUCACAAGAAACUACUUAAUUUAUUUAAUACAUAAUAAUAGAAGAAAAGUGGAGAACAUGAUUCUUUCAUACUAAAAUAAAUAAUAAAUAAUAAAAAAUAAAAAAUGAGAUGAAACCAUAUAUAAUUAAAAUAACAUAUGACAAUUAUAAAUAUUAAUUUAAAUAUAAUUGUAAUAAGAGAAUCAGCCAAAAGACUAUGAAGGGGUCUUGAGAAUGACCAUUUAGGAGGAGUUGAGUACGGAUUAGGAGGACUUGGUUGAUGUGUUUGGAUUUGUGCAAUAGAGAGAUUAUUUGUUUUGGAUGUACUAAGAUGAAUGUGCCAAAUAUCAAUAAGCCCAUAUAUCAUACUUUGAAGUAUUUAUUUAUAUUAUAAAACAAUGCAUUUAUUUAUUUUUUAGGUUAUUACUAUUUUAUAAAUGCAAACUAUACAAAUAAAGAGGGGUUCGUUGCUCCAUUUAUAGGAUAUCAUUUAAAUAAAUAGAAACCCAAAUUAAUGCUAAAAUAUUACAUUGAUGAAGAGUGGAAGUGGCUCAAAGUAUACUUUUGUUUUAUUUUAUUUAUUUAUUUAGGUUUUAAUUUGUAUAUAAUAAAAUGACAAUUAUUCACUUUGUUAUAACAUUGUUUAGGAGCAUUAGAUGAGACAUUCAUUAUGAAGAAUGUACUAGAUACUAAACGCAUAUAUAUUGUAUUAUGAAAUAUUUAUUUGUAUUAUAAAAUAAUACAAUUAAAUUUCUUUGUUUUAGGUUAUUACUACCUUGUAGAUAUGGACUAUGCAAAUAAUGAGAAAUUCCUUACUCCAUUUAUAGGAUAUCAUUUAAAUAAAUAGAGGGGCAAAAUGAUAGAAGUGUAUAUUUCAUUCCAUUUCCUCUAUGAUUAGGAAACACUUGAAAGGUAACUGACUUCAUUUUGAUUUUUUUUCCUAGAUAUUAUAAGUAAACACUUCAAUAGAAUUCAUGAUUUUGAUUAUCUUCUCUUUUCUUUCCUUAUCUAGUUCUCUUUCCUAUGAUUUUAUUUAUAUAGAACUAGUAAACACACUCUAAGGAUCAAAUUAGAACGAAGAUUAGAGAUAGUUAUGAUACUUUUUUUUUCUUUAAACAUCAAAUGGGAACAAAGGACGUCAAAGUUUUGGAGCACAUACAAUCAAUUUUACAUCAAUAAUAAUCACUAAUGUUUUUAUCUAAUUUUGAAUGUCAUAAUACAAAGUAACCUUCAUUUCUAUCAACUUGGUGAAAAAAAAAACGUUAGAAUGCAAUGAAAAAUAAAAGAACUAAUAAUAAUAUUAACUAAUAAAACAGGUGAAAAAGAAACACCAUUAUUCAGAUUUGAAGUCAUUAUCCAGUGGUCAUAAAGAUAGAACUUUGUACCAUUGAAGGAUUUAGUCUCACACUUGAAAGAUAGCCCAAAAAGUCGAGGGAAUGCUUGGAUAAGUAGUUUAUAUGGAUCCUUAUUGGUUGAGACCACACGUAAAAAUGACAUUGCCAGAAAUUGACAAGGUAAUAUUUCCAUUUAUUCAUUAGAAGAGGCGCCCCUUUUGAAGCUAGAAUGGAUUUUCCUUGAUACCUAACAUAUGCAUGAAAGGAUUCUUGAACAACUAUAAGAUUGUCUGAAAAUCAUUAGCAAAGACUUCAACAAAAUGCUCUAUUUUUCCAUAGAAAAAUAUUGGCCCAAGAAAGGCUCCAUAAGAUGUUGAUCGUAAAUGAUAAGAUUGAUUGCAGAUAAAAAUGAAGAUAGAGUCGUAUUCACAUACAUGAAAAUUAUAUAGGAAAUAUCAAGAUUCUGAUGGUAAUAAACUUUUUGGAAGAACAAGCCUGGCAACUAAGGUCCCAUGUAUGUCAUCUGCAUUACAACUUCCCAAUAAGGCAGUUUUAUGGCAUUUCAGGUUAGGUCAUCUUACACAUAAAAUAGUUAAUAAAGUUUUGAGUGCUUGUAGCUUGCCCCCAAUACAUUGGACAAGUGUUUGUGAACCUUGUCAAAUGGCAAAAAGUCAUUGCUUACCUUUUAUUUUGUCUAAAUCCAGAGUCUCUCAGCCUUUUGCUCUUGUACAUUCUAAUCUAUGGGGUCUUGCCCCUAUUGUUGGUGCUAAUGGUGCAAGAUACUUUGUACCCUUUAUGGACGACCAUACAAGAUUUUCUUGGUUGUAUCUACUAGCUUCUAAAGAUCAAGCUAUCUCUAUUUUUUUUUUUGCAAUUUAAAGUGAUGAUUGAGACUCAAUUUGAUACUAAAGUUAGAGGGCUUCAAACUGAUUGGGGAGGGGAGUUUCAAGCCUUUACUAAUACUUUAUGUAAAUUUGUGAUUCUACAUAAAGUAUCUUGUUUGUCUACUUCUCAACAAAAUGGUCGUGUGGAGAGAAAACGUAGACAUGUGGUUGAAAUAGGUCUUUCAUUGCUUGCUCAUGCUUCUAUUCCACUUAAAUAUUGGUAUUUUGCCUUACAAUCUGCCUUAUAUUUGAUUAAUAGGCUUCCUUCCUCUAUGCUAAACUUUUCUUCUCCAUAUAAAACUCUUUACCAUUGUCUACCAAAUUAUUAUUUUCUUCAUGUCUAUGGUUGCACUCGUUAUCCUUUUCCACAUCCUUUUAAUAGUCAUAAAUUUGCAUAUCGAUCCGUUAAAUGCACCUUUAUUGGCUAUAGUUCUAAGCAUAAAGGAUAUCUCAGAUUAAACAUGUCCACUGGUAAAAUACAUAUAUCAUGACAUGUUAUUUUUGAUGAAUUAGAUUUCCCAUUUGCUAAGCCUUCUACAAUUCAGCCUCCUUGUUUUGUUUCCCCCUCUCAUUGUGCCAUUCCCUUAGCAGUACCAUCCUUUUCAAUAUCUUCCCUCUUGCCUCCCCCAUCUAGUCCUCCUUCAGAGUUGGUUCUAGUCUUUGAUGCUAGUGUGUCAAUUUCCUCUUCUGAGGUUGCACUUAUUCCAACAGCUCAACCUCCUUUCUCUCACGUUCCUACUCCUUGUCAUUUUAUGACAACGCGUGCCAAAAAUGGCAUUUUCAAACCUAAGAUAUUUCUAUCCCCUACUGAGACUAUUUUUCCUCCACCUUGUGAACCGAAUUCCUUCAAGGAAGUUGCUAAAGUUCCUAAAUGGCAGCAAGCUAUGCAUCUUGAAUUUGAAGCUCUUAUAAAGAAUAAAACAUGGGUCUUGGUUCCUCCUUUAUCUAAUUAGAAUAUCAUUGGAUGUCGUUGGGUUUAUAAAUUGAAGUUUAAACCUGGUAGAACUAUUGAACGUUACAAAGCACAUUUGGUGGCGAAAGGAUUUCAUCAAACUCCCGAUUUUGAUUACUUUGAAACCUUCAGUUCCGUGGUUAAACCUACUAUUAUUCAUGUAGUUUUCUCGCAUUAAGUAAAAACUAGUCUAUCAGACAACUUGAUGUUCUUAAUGCCUUUCUUAAUGGUGAUUUAUCUUAGCAAGGUUUUAUGACACAACCCCCAGGUUUUGUGGAUCCUUCUAAGCCCAACUUUGUUUGUAAACUUACCAAGGCAUUGUAUGGUUUGAAGCAAGCUCCACGGGCUUGGUUCACCAAACUUAAUUCCGUCUUAGUUAAAUGGGGGUUUUUCCAUUUCUCAAGUAGAUAUGUCAAUGUUUGUUUACUGUAACAAUUCUGCCAUGCUUGUUGUCUUGGUUUAUGUCGAUGAUAUUAUUGUCACUAGAUCAAAUUCCUUGCUCAUUGAACAACUUAUAUCCUCCUUAAAAUCUUGCUUUGCUCUCAAGGAUCUUGGUGCUCUUAACUUCUUUCUUGGAAUAGAGGUAUUCAAUUCUAGAUCUUCUUUGCAUUUAAGUCAAGCUAGAUAUAUUUGUGAUCUCCUUCAGCAUGCUAGUUUGUCUAAAUCAAAGUCCAAGACUUUCCCAAUGGUUGUUAGUCCCUGUUCUCUCCAUAGCUGAUGGUACUAGAUUAGAAGAUCCCACCUUGUAUCAGAGUCUUGUGGGUGCUCUUUAGUAUUGCACAAUUACUAGACCAGACAUUGCUUAUACUGUUAAUAAGCUUUGCCAAUUUAUGCAUGCUCCAACCUCUACUCAUCUUCAAGUUGUAAAGCGUGUUCUUCGUUAUCUCAAAGGUUCAUUGUUUUAUGGGCUUUCUUUCCAACUAUCUUUCUCCCUCGAUCUCAUUGCCUAUACAGAUGUUGAUUGGGCAUCUUGCCCUAAUGAUAGAUGUAGCACCAGUGGCUACUGUAUAUAUUUUGGUGGCAAUCUGGUCUCUUGGUCAACUUCUAAACAAAAGGUGGUUUCUCGCUCUAGUACCGAAUCCGAGUAUAAGGGCUUGGCCAACGCAGCAGCUAAACUCACUUGGAUCCAAUCCCUACUUAAAGAACUCUUUGUUUCCCUGUUUCAACCCCCUGUUCUUUACUAUGAUAAUCUCAACACUACUUAUUUGGUUGAAAUCCUGUCCUUCAUUCUCAAGCUAAACAUGUGGAAACUGAUUAUCAUUUUGUUCGUGUACGAGUCUUGUAGGAAACUCUUGAUGUUCCAUCUGAAGACCAAGUUGCUAAUAUCUUGACCAAAGCUCUCUCCACUCAACGUUUCCUCCAUCUUCGGAGCAAGCUCACAGUUAUUUCUCUCCCUAUGUGCUUGAGGGGGGAUGUCAAGUAGAGUUGUUUAAGUAGUUAACAGGUUGUUUGUUGUUUGUAACUAAUUAGAAAGUUGUUAGUCAUUUGUAACUAAUCUCUGAAUUUUUGUAUAUAAGAGACAAAGCACUUAUAAGUGGUGCAAUUUGUUGCUUAAUUUUAGUUUUCAUCUCUCUUGUUUUCUCUCAAACAGGUGCUCUGCAUAUCUUCUUUUCAUAUCUUAGAGCUCUUUCUCCAUCUUCAGCAACUCAACCUUGCUCUUCAAAUCUGAUAAUCUGAUCACAUCUUCAAUCCCUCGUUAAUUUCUUCAUUCAACUCCUCUACCUUCGAUUGGAAGCCUGGGACGGGAGUCUCCUGAAGGAGGUCCAUUUUGCUUUUGAUUCCACACUUGAACAUCCAAACCCAUGGACUUGAGAACCUGAGCCAUUUCAAACUCAAUCUCCUUUUUCACUUUUACAGUUUUCUCCUUCAGCGCAUCGUCCAAAUUCCCAAUGGUAGGCAUCUCAGAGUUAUUAAUUUCAACUUUUAAUGCCUCAAUCUUUUCCUUUAUAUCAGCACGAUCCUUAAACUCUUUGAAUCUCUUGUUGAUUUCUUGUUUCGAAGUGGUUGCCUUGUUUCUUUCUAUCUCGGAAGUCCUAAGAUCCAUGAGAUUCUUCUUAUCAUCCUUUGUCCACUCAACAGCCUUAUACCCAUAUCCAUGUCCUUCUUCAUCUUCAUCUUCAUCUUCAUCUUCUGCUUCUCCUACACUUUCAGUUUCCAACUCACUACCACCACCAUCUUUAAGCUUGUGACAACGAUCAUCAAAAUCCAUCAUCCAAUUCAGAAAAAUGCCGCUCAUCAAGCCUCUAGACUUCUUCUGCAUCAUGCCCACUGACAGAGAAGUUGUCUUCUCCAUCCGGACUACAACAGUUUUCUUCUCGACACUCUUGAUGUCACUAACAGCAAUAAUUUAAUGCAUGUUCUGAAUGACAAAACACCCAAAUGGAGGAUAUUUGGAGAAAGUCUCCACUACCGUGGGUUUGAUGAGUGUUAAAGUAUAUUAUGUUAUGGGCUCUAGGCCCAGUUAGGUUACUUGUAUAGUACUUGUACUGCACACUUGUACCGCACAGUACUUGUACCGCACACUUGUACCGCACCUUUGUACUGCACCCUUGUACUGCACACAUAUGCCUCCUAUAUAAAGGCACUGAUGUAUACUCUUUAAAUCACAGAAUAGAAUACAAUUAUUCUAUAUUUCUAACAUGGUAUCAGAGCCAUUGCUCUGACCUUUUUCUUAGCAGUCUUGUCUUCAUUAGCGUGACUUCCUUCUUUCACUAAACGCUUCCGCCAUCACAACUGCUGCUGUAGCCUCUUUCCGUUGAACCUCCGACAUCAUCCAGUCGUCGUCCUUGGGUUUCGGACCUGCAGCCGCCGUCGUUAAGAAGUUCCACACUGCACAGACCAUUGCCCUUUGCAUCACCGCUGCGAAUAUUGCUCCGAUUUCAUUUUUGAAGGUACCACUGAGAUCGUCCAGCGCCGAUCUACACAUUCGUGGAUAUCUCGCCACCAUCGGAGACCGCACACACCUCCACGCGCCUCCAUGCACUGCCAUGUCAGCCCUAGCUGCGUCAGCAUCCACUGAUCUGCUGACGUCAUCUUCAGUCGUUGACCGUUGACCAGUCGUUGACCUUUGACCAGCCGUUGACCGUUGACUUUGACCGUUGACCAUUGACUUUGACCGUUGACUUCCCAUUUAACUUUUUCCCGACCAGGUUCUCCUUACCCAGUUUUUCGUGUAGAUUUCAUUUCUGCAGUCGGUUUUUGCAUAUUGUGUCCCUAAAUGGAUAAGAAGGAUGUUUUUCUUCCUCGUCCCAUCCAUACUGUAUUGGAGGGGACUAAAAAUUACUUAUCCUGGUCUCAAGCUAUGCGCAGUUUUCUUAAGAGCCGCAUGCUCUGACAUUAUUGUACUGGUGCAAUGACUAUUCUUGUCAAGGGAGCAAGUGAAGAAGAUGCUGCCUUUCUUAGUCGCAUGAUUGAAUGGGAUAGUCAUAACCACAUGAUCCUCACAUGGAUUCGGAACACUUCCAUUCCCUCUAUUUCCAAUCUAUUGGGCAGCUUUGACGAUGCAAAAUCUGCAUGGGAUAUGUUGACCAAAAGGUACUCCACUACUCAUGGAUCCAUGAAAUAUCAGUUAGUGGUUGAAUUGCAUCAACUCAGGCAAGAACCGGGGCAAUCCAUCAAUGACUAUUAUGAACAGCUUCGCUUCAUUUGGGACCAAAUUGACCUUUCUGAUCCAACUUGGGCAUGCUCAAAAGAUGCUCAGCAAUAUGCUUCCAUCAGAGAUGAAUUUCGCCUCUAUGAAUUCUUGAUGUCACUUCACAAGGACUUUGAGCCCAUUUGUGGUCAGCUGCUAAAUCGCAGUCUUGCUCCCUCUCUUGAUAUUGCUGUGAAUGAGUUGGUUAGAGAAGAAGCUCGUCUUGCAACCCUUCAAGCCCAGAAUAAGCUCAAUAUUUUGGCUAUUACUCCAUCUACUCCACUCAUAGAGCAACCUCAGCAAUUAGGUGAUUUUUCUGGCUCUAGCAAUCGUCGCAAGCAAACCAACAAGAAGUUCUGCAACUAUUGCAAGCGUCCUGGCCACACCAUUGAGACUUGUUACCGUCGUAACAAAUCUACUGUUGCUGUUGCUAAUACUGAACCUACUCCGCCAACGGUUUCCACGUCCCAGUCUUCUGGAUCUACUAUCAACCUCUCCUCCACUGAACUACAGGAGAUCAUAGCUCAGGUUGUUCGUAUGGCUGGUAAUGCAUCUCUUUCCACUGCCUUAUCUGUUCUACCUGGUAAGUCUCAAACUUGGCUCUUUGAUUCUGUCUGCUGCAAUCACAUGACACCUCACUCAUCCAUGUUCUCCAAACUUGACCCUGCACCACAUCCUCUAAAUAUUCAUAUAGCCGAUGGUUCCACCAUGCAUGGAAAUAGUCUAGGUUUUGUUUCAACCUCUACUCUUUCUGUUCCUGGAGUCUUCCACGUACCUGCCCUAUCCUAUAAUUUGUGCUAUGUGGGACAAUUAGCUGAACUAGGUUAUCGCCUUAUUUUUUA